GCCAUUAUCAUUGGCCUUCAAAACAAUCAAGACGUACUUGAAGAGAGGGAUGAGGGUGAGGGUGAGGGUGUAGAAGAUGAGAGAAAGAACCCCCAGAAUAUCAUCAUUAUCUUUGACACCAUCAGUGAGAGUGCUUGCAAAUGAGUACAAAGGCGAAGUGCCAAUCUCCCCAUACACUAUUCCAAUGCUCUGAAACGCCAGGUGCAGUAUCACAGACCAGUCCUUGGUAUCCUUCAAAACAGAAAUUCAAAAGAUAAUAUAUAUAUAUAUAUAUAUAUAUAUAUAUAUAUAUAUAUAUAUAUAUAUAUUUCUUUUUCCCAAUUGCCAUGCAUGCAGAUACAUAAUAACAAGAAAAUGAUAUCAGGAAGGGGGGGGUGCAGACCCUGGAGCUAUGGUGGCUUUGGCCAUGGACAGUCCCGGUCUCCAUGUCUAAGGAGUCCAUACGACGUAGUUCUCCCCAUAAGAGUUUCUUUGAUUUGAGGCCUUGAACAUGGGUCUCGUCAGGGCUGUUUACUACAUCAGAAGACAUUUUCUAUGAUCUAUGAUCUGAAAAGGCUUUUAAUCAAACUACUUUCUGGAUGGUUUGCAGAAGGUGGAGAGGCGCCCAUUAAAGGCACAGAAAGGUCUGAAAAGAGUGACGAAGAAACGUGAAGUUCAAGGUGGGAGAUGUUGAUGGGCAACUAAAUUUUAUGCUUCUGGGUAGACAAUGGCGCGGUUUGAUUUUAUGAAUUAGUAAACGAGAUUAUGAGUGUUCUUUUUUACAAUUUAUUUUUCAAAUUUAGUAGAAAACGUGUCAUCUAAUUGAAUUUAUUUCUUGAUUGAUCUCAGAAACAGCAGGCCUCUGUGUCCAAAAAUGACGUUUGCAUUAGCACAAGUAGACGUGAGUCUGUGACCAGGCCUCUCUGUACAAAAAUAAGACUGUGCAAACACUUAGAGCUCAGCACAAACAGCUGAUUAAGAAAGCAGAGAAAGCAGAGAGUAGCAAUGGUAUCUUCAAAUUUUGCCAUGCUUUCAUUACUUCUCAUCAGCUUGAGGGACAGCUUCAGAUGCUUUUGCUUUUAAAAAUAGAGAGGUUGUUCUCCGAAUCUUGUUUUUAUUUUUAUUUUUAUUUUUAUUUUUAUUUUUAUUUUUAUUUAAGUUAUAACUUCAAAACAAUUGCCAAACAUGUAAAAAAAAAAAAUUUUAAAGUUGUUUUCUAUUUUUUAAAAACCGUUUUUAAAAAUUUCAACAAACAUGCUCUUAAUCUUACAUAAUGUUUUCAAUUUAAAAUUGUAUUUGUACUGUUUUAUUUUUUUAAUUACUAUAUAUUAUUUUGAAAAUUAGAUCGGACCCAACUGAUCGAUCGGUGGACUUUCCGAUUUGGUCCUCUCUAUUAAAUCAGACAUUUGAACCAGCCCCAAAACCGUUGAACCAACGGUUAAACCGGUGAACUGCCUGAAUUGGGUGAUUCCAUAUGACUUGAACGAUUCAAUAUUUUUUGAAUGUGGGAAUGAUUUAUGAGCUUUGAAACAUGGGGAAGGAGAUGAUCAACAAAAUGUCUCAUUAGUAUCAAGUGAUAAGGCUGCUUGUAGCUAGCUAGCAUAGCUAAAAAAAUUGUAGCAAGAGUAAUUCUCUUCUCAAGCAUGUACAGCUAAAAUUCAACCAGAAAGGCUUAGUUACAAGAAAGAAGUUUGUAGUAAAGGUACAGAUGUGGAAUGGGAAUUUAUAUUAAUUAUAUUUUGGACUUUUUAUGAUAAGUUAAAUAUAUAAAACAAAAGUCGUUUUCUUUAAUAUUUUCUUAGCAGAAAAAACAUUGGAGGUGGGAAACGGGCAGGUUUUUUAGAGUCCUCCAUUGGUUUCUCCUCGGAUAUACGGCUCUAUGCAUUUUCAAAUAUCCCCAUUGGNNNNNNNNNNNNNNNNNNNNNNNNNNNNNNNNNNNNNNNNNNNNNNNNNNNNNNNNNNNNNNNNNNNNNNNNNNNNNNNNNNNNNNNNNNNNNNNNNNNNAAGUACUCUUGCUACAAUUUUUUUAGCUAUUCUAGCUAGCUACAAGUAGCCUUGUCACUUGAUACUAAUGAGACAUUUUGUUGAUCAUCGCCUUCCCCAUGUUUCAAAGCUCAUAAAUCAUUCCCACUUUUAGCAUACGUUUGUAUGGAAUGUCAAACACCUUCUUUGUCUGUCUCAAAUUCUGCUUUAAGAUAUUUUAGCCAACAUUUAUUAGAACAUUUUUUCCUAAUUUGGAGCCCUUCUCCGCCAUCACCUCGAUCAUUCUCACCAAUCAAGUGUACCCCACCCGCUCGUGUCGCUAUGUUAGUUGCUUCAAUAUCUUUGUCAACAUCGUCUUGGUGCCUUUCUUCAUCAAUUUGAUUUGAUUCUUCACUCUCAUUCUCACCAUCAAUCGACCCAUCUUGCAGCUCUCUAGAAACCAUGUCUUGUGUUAAUGUCAAGGUCAUCAUCAUUUUUUCUCUUAUAAACUCCUUCAAUCUUUCAACCAACAAUCUCUCAAAAGGCUCUUCCUUGCACGUCAGUGUACCCAUACCUCACCACACACCAAAACACAAAGAUCGUCUGGGUCUACCCUGCGGAAGAAGAAUCGUCCCUCCAUUGAAACCUUGCUUAAAACUCACCUAAAGGAUUUGAUAUUAGGUAAAAGCCCAACCCAAACAACCCUUAAUGUGUCAUACCUUAAUUUAUGUGUUCUCAAGACCUACAACCUAGCAAAACACAUAGAAGGCCACUUAGGUUGCAUGCACUUUAUCACUUAAAAUGAAAAUAAAAAAAUGUAUAUGUUUCUAAAAUAUUUAUAUUAUUAAAAAAUAAUAUAAUAUUUUCUAAAAUUCUAAAAUUAGUUAAAAUUAAAUAAUUAAUUUUUCUUCAUUUUGAAUAUAUUAACGUUUAAAUAUUAUACAUAUUUCAUUUAAUAAAAUUCAAAAUAAUAAUAUAUUUAUACUUAUUUUUUAUAAUAUCAAAGAUAAAAUUUUAUUAUUAUUAAUAAUUUAUUUAUUUAUUUAAAUUUUUAAUUCUUUUAAAUUUUAAUAAUAUAAAUUAUAUAUUUAUGACAUCAUCAAUUCGACUAGACCAUCGAUCUGAUUACUAAACCAUGAACCAUAACUUUUUCGAUUUAAAGACCAAUCUCUAUCUAUCUCAAAUUCUUCUUCAAGAUAUUGUAGCUAACAUUUAUCAAAACAUUUUCUCCUAAUCUAGAGCCCUUCUUCACUAUCACCUCAAUUUCAUCGAUCAAGUGCACCACACGCGGUCCUGCCGCUCUGUCAAUUGCUUAAAUAUCUUUGUCAACAUCCUUUUGGCGCAUUUCUUCAUCAAUUUGCUUUGAUUAUUUGCUCUCAUUCUCACCAUCAAUCAACCCAUCUUGUAGCUCUCCAAAAACCAUGUCUCCAUUACUGUGUUUUAAUGUCGGGGUCAUCAUCAUCUCUUCUCUUAUGAACUCCUUCAUUCUUCCAACCAUCAAUCUCUCAAAAAGUUCUUCCUUGAAUCACACGUCGGUGUACCCAUACCUCACCACACACCAUAACACAUAAGAUCAUCUAGGUCUACCAUGCGGAAGAGGAAUCAUUCCUCCAUUGGAACCUUGCUUAAAAGUCAAACCUAAACACCCUCUCAUGUGUCAUACCUUAAUUUAAGGUGUUGUAGAAGUGGCUUGUUGAGUUACCAAUUAGGUUUCAUGAUUUUAAGGAUUGGAACUCAAGACCUAAGACCGAGCAAAACACAUAGAAAACCACUUAGGCUACGUGCACUUUAUCACUUAAAAUGCAAAUAAAAAAAAUGUAUAUGUUUCUAAAAUAUUUAUAAUAUUAAAAAAAUAAUAUUAUAUUUUCUAAAAUUCUAAAAUUGGUUAAAAUUAAAUAAUUAAUUUUUCUUCAUUUUGAAUAUAUUGACAUUUAAAUAUUAUACAUAUUUCAUUUAAUAAAAUUCAAAAUACUAAUAUAUUUAUACUUAUUUUUUAUAAUAUCAAAGAUAAAAAUAUAAUAUUAUUCAUUAUUUAUUUAUUUAUAUAUUUUUAAAUUUUUAUUAUUUUUAAUUUUAAUAAUAUAAAUUUUUUAUAUAUGACAUCAUCGGUUCGACUAAACCACCCGUCUGAUUACUAAACCAUGAACCAUAACUUUUUUGGUUGAAUGACCAAUCUCUGUUUGUCUCAAAUUCUUCUUCAAGAUAUUGUAUCCAACAUUUAUCAAAACAUUUUUUCCUAAUUUGGAGCCCUUCUUCGCCAUUACCUCAAUCACACCUGCUCAUGCCGCUUUGUCAAUUGCUUCAUUAUCUUUGUCAACAUCCUUUUGCCGCAUUUUUUCAUCAAUUUGCUUUGAUUCUUCGCUCUCAUUCUCACCAUCAAUCAACCCAUCUUGCAGCUCUCUAGAAACCAUGUCUCCAUUACUAUGUGUUAAUGUCGGGGUCAUCAUCAUCUCUUCUCUUAUGAACUCCUUCAAUCUUUCAAUCAGCAAUCUCUCAAAAGGCUCUUACUCGAAUCUCACGUCGGUGUACCCAUACCUCACCACACACCGGAACACGUAAAGAUCAUCUGGGUCUACCUUGCGGAAGAGGAAUCCUUCCUUCAUUGGCACCUUGAUUAAAACUCACCUAAAGGAUUUGAUAUUAGGUAAAAGUCCAACCCAAACACCCUUUUAUGUGUCAUACCUUAAUUUACGUGUUGUAGAAAUGGCUUGUUGAGUUAGCAAUCCACAUCCCACGUAGGAUUCAUGAUUUUAAGGAUUUGAACUCAAGACCUACAAUCAAGCAAAACACAUAGAAGACCACUUAGGUUGCAUGCACUUUAUAUGUUUCUAAAAUAUUUAUAAUAUUAAAAAAUAAUAUUAUAUUUUCUAAAAUUCUAAAAUUAGUUAAAAUUAAAUAAUUAAUUUUUCUUCAUUUUGAAUAUAUUGACAUUUAAAUAUUAUACAUAUUUCAUUUAAUAAAAUUCAAAAUACUUAACAUAUUUAUACUUAUUUUUUAUAAUAUCAAAGAUAAAAAUAUAAUAUUAUUCAUUAUUUAUUUGUUUAUAUAUUUUUAAAUUUUUUAUUCUUUUUAAUUUUAAUAAUAUAAAUUUUAUAUAUAUGACGUCAUCAGUUCGACUAGACCACCGAUCUAAUUACUGAACCAUGAACCAUAACUUUUUUUGGUUUAAUGACCAAUUUUUGUCAAUCUCAAAUUCUUCUUCAACAUAUUCUAGCCAACAUUUAUCAAAACAUUUUUUCCUAAUUUAGAGCCCUUUUUUGCCAUCACCUCAAUCAUACCUGCUCGUGUCACUCUGUCAAUUGCUUCUUUAUCUUUGUCAACAUCUUAUUGGCGCAUUUCUUCAUCAAUUUGCUUUGAUUAUUCGCUCUCAUUCUCACUAUCAAUCAACCCAUCUUGCAGCUCUCUAGAAACCAUGUCUCCAUUACUAUGUGUUAAUGUCAGGGUCAUCGUCAUCUCUUCUCUUAUGAACUCCUUUGAUCUUUCAACCAACAAUCUCUCAAAAGGCUCUUCCUCGAAUCGCACGUUGAUGUACCCAUACCUCACCACCCACCGAAACACAUAAAGAUUGUCUGGGUCUACCGUGCGGAAGAGGAAUCAUUCUUCCAUUGGAACCUUGCUUAAAACUCACCUAAAGGAUUUGAUAUUAGGUAAAAGCCCAACCCAAACACCCCUUAAUGUGUCAUACCUUAAUUUAAGGUGUUGUAGACAUGUCUUAUUGUGUUAGCAAUGCGCAUCCCAUGUAGGAUUCAUGGCUUGUUGAGUUAGCAAUCCACAUGCCACAUAGGAUUCAUGAUUUUAAGGAUUUGAACUCAAGACCUACAACCAAGCAAAACACAUAGAUGGCCACUUAGGCUGCACUUUAUCACUUAAAAUGCAAAUAAAAAAAAUGUAUAUGUUUCUAAAACAUUUAUAAUAUUAAAAAAAUAAUAUAAUAUUUUCAAAAAUUCUAAAAUUAAUUAAAAUUAAAUAAUUAAUUUUUCUUCAUUUUGAAUAUAUUGACAUUUAAUAUUAAACACAUGUCAUUUAAUAAAAUUCAAAUUAUUAAUAUAUUUAUACUUAUUUUUUAUAAUAUCAAUGAUAAAAAUUUAAUAUUUAAAUUAAUUGCAUAUAUAUACAUGUGUGUGUGUAUGUAUUUUGUUAUUUUAAAAUUUUUAAAACUAUUAUAUUAAUUAAUUUAUAUUAUUUUUAUAUUUAUAAUUAAUAAUUAUUAUAUCAAUAAUGGUAGAUAUAAAUAUUCAUAUUUAUUUAAAUGUUCUAUAUGAUAAAAAUUUAAAAAUAUAUACAUAUUUUCCAUGCUAUUGACCAAAUAGCUUGUAAGUUGGUGGUCCUCCAACUCAUUAUGUAAACCACGUCCCAGGUUUCAAUUCUACAAAGCAUUUAUGUAGUAUUUAUACCUUCACAUCACAGGAGAAAGUAAAUUGCCAUAGAAUACAGGCUUGGAAUGAAGCGAGAAAUGAGCUAGAAAAUUGUGGAAACCCAUGUGGAAUUUUGGUUAAACCAUAAUUGACUGGUUCGUGAAAAACCUGCAGACAGUUUGUUCGAUUCAGCGAUUGAACUAUCGAUUCAUUAGGUCCAACAAGGGUUCAACCUCUGGACAGUCUAUUUCAUCAGAUCGGACUGAAAAGGCCAUCAGUCGAUGGUUAAACUGGCCGGUCUGAUCCUGUUUUCAAAACAAUAAAAUUAGGGUUGAAUGACACGUGAAAAAUAAUUUAUACAAUAUAAUGCUUCACUUAUAUUUAAAAUAGAACUCUUUCUCGUUCAAUAUAAGAGUUGAAAGCCACUAGAUAUAAUUUGAAUACUGAUUGACCAACCAAUUGAUCAACUGCUAAUCAUCAAGGUUACCAAAUCCUAACUAAUUCAACCGAUUGAGACCUAGGUUACAUAAAACAAGGCUAUAAGAAGCCAUGAUGAACAUAAGGAUUCAAAGAGAGUUCUAACAGUAUUUACCUAGCUAUGAUGAACAGACAACAAAAGCAUGCUAGUUGCAAAAGAAACUAUGAUUCAAGAACAUUUUAUGAAUGAGUUUUAUUUACAGAUAUUGACAGAAAACACCAGGAACUGUAUGUUAAAAGUAAUACAACUCCAGAAAUAUAUUGGCCAUUAUUGGAAUGAAUGACCCUUAUAAAAAAAUAAAAAGAGGUGCUGCAUUCUGUACUCUUGCACCUUGUUCAACACCCAAGAAAUAAAUAAAUAAAAAGGAAGAAGAGGAAGAAGGAGAAGAAGAAGGAACAAAGAUAUUCAGAACAUAUUUCUACAAUUAAAAAAUUUAACAGUCAGAUAUCAAUUCCCAUCUUAAGCCUAAUGCUAGAUAAUAGGCAAAAACAUAAUAUACAAAAGAUAAUAAUUAACAUUUUGAAGCCAAAGGCUAAUAUAAGAUUAUCACUCAAUUCGAAAUUUUACCACUUAUUACUUAUGACAUUAUUUUAAUAUUGGAGAUCAAAGUUCUGAAACAGGAUAAACUACUUAGUAUUUUAAAACAUUAUGCAGUCUUUAAUGGAUGUUGUCUCACGUAUCUCUCCCCUUUAAAAAAGCCAAUUAUUUUGCUGAACUGUUAGGUCCACGAUGACUAAUGAUUGCACUUAGCACUCAAUAGUUCUUGCUUUAUGUUCUUUAUCAAACAGCCAAUAGAAGAAGAUGAUCAUUCUUAGUUAUCAGACAAACGCUGAACCUAAAAAUACAAAAUAAUAGAACUUGAUGCUUACACUGAAUUUAAUGGGGAGAAUAACCUUAUUGAAAUGGACACGACUCAUUUUGGGACUGAAACGCUAAUAGAUUUUCAGUGGUCAUGGAUAAAGGUUUACAUUAGACAAUUUGAAGCAAGUUUCAUCCUUAUUAGGUUCAACCAACUAUAGCAGCAAUCAUUUAUAACACACAAAAUCUCCAAGCAUAUGGAGACUAGAAGGAUCAAGGUCAGUCAAAAUUCAUAUCUGAACUUUAAUCUGGAAGUUCAGAUAGAAGUUAGUCUUUAAUGAAUUUGUUAAAAAGUGUGUAGUAAAAAAUCCACACAUUUCAAUCAAAUUGACAACCUCUCAAUCAAGAACUUUCAUUUCCAAGAAAAAUCAAAGAUACAGCCCUUUGAAAUGAAACACAAAUAAAGUUACAUGAAAUACACCAGCAAUCUCAGAUAUUAAAAGUCUCAGGUACAUAUAAUGGCUAUAAACCAUUAUUAUAAAAUUUUCUGCAUAUAAGAACACCUAUAGUAACAGAAACAAGAACUGAAAAAGCUCCCUGCCUUGAAAGCCCAAAUUCAGUCCAUGUCAAGGGCCUUUUGACCUGAAAUAAUACAUUCUGGAACAGUUCAUUCAGAUCCUCCAGCGACCCAGUGUUCUCCUCUUCAAAUCCAGUGACAUCUGGGCAUUUAUCCUGUUUCUGGCAUCCUCCUCGGACGUCCUAUCCCUUGCCAACAGUCGCUGAAGUUGUGUUUCAGGAUCAACCCAUACAACAAUAAUGGGUUUUGUCCAGCCGUCCAUCUUGGCCUCAAACAACAAAGGGACAUCAAGAACAAUAACCUUAAACCCCUUCAUCCAUAGCUUGAAAACUUCCCAAAAAAUACCAGAUGAUAUAAAAGGGGCCAGUAGCCUAAAAAUGUAUAUAAAAACAAGAGUAAAAACUCAUAUAAUUGCAUCUUCAUUACAAGUUAAGGCAAUGAAUUAUGAUCAACUGACACUCAAAAAGAUUUAUUGUCUGCAAAUUGAUCUAUGAAAAUUCCAAACUCUUAAGAGAAAAAAUACACUAAUUCCACUAAGUUAUCUGAGUUGAAGUAUUUCAAUAGGUUAUAAGACUAAUACUUCCCUAUCAUGCAAUUAAGAAAAGAUUGGAUACACAUCUCUGUUGCAUAGAAUUGUAAACAUUUAUCAUUUUUAUCUUCAGGCAUUCAGAAGUAAACUUCGGUGGCGUUUGUUUUUUUGGCUUUUUGCUGAAAACAAUUUGCUUUCAGAAUUUAGGUUGUUUGUUUUUUUAAUUUUUGAUGACUUAUUACUGAAUUUUUAAAAUUUUUGACUAAAUAAAAAAAGCUAAAAUAUUUGGCUUUUUCUAUUUAGAAAAAGCCAAUUUUUUAAACCUUUACCAAAUGCGAUUGAACCCGAACCCGACGCCCAAACCUACCCACCCAUCCCUUGUAGCUCUCUGCAACCCCGAUCCUCAACCCUCACCUCAUCCCAAAGCAAUAAUUUCUUCAUUCUCCUCCUCCAUCGCUCUCCUUCCGGGACUAUAGAGUUGGAAAGAAGCUCCUCUUUCAUUCAGCAUCGUUGAUCUAAUCGAAGGUAACUGACCCAAAUUUAUUUUGGUUUUAGGAUUUCAAUAGAGCAUUCGAGUCUCAUUUUCCAGUACUUCUCUUUCUAAAACUCUCAUUUUCAAUAGAGCAUUCUGGUUCACGUGUUGCAGGUCCGUUUAUUUUUUUAGGAAGAAAAACUUUGUUUGGUGAUAUCUUAUUAUUUAGAGCCUAUUUGAUAUGGUUGUUGUCUCGUUGUUAAUUUGGGUUUGUUUGAUUGUUGUGAUUUUUGUGGUUUGUUGGGUUAUUUUUUAAGGAAGAAAAAUGUUGGGUUUAAUCUUAUUGAUUUCAUAUUAUAGUUUGUUGAGUAGAGCAUUUGUGCUCAAACUGUUUGUUAGAAUGCCCAUGAGAGUUCUUAAAUAACGUGGAAUACCCCCUCCAAAUGAUUGAACGCCAUUGAAAGUUGUUGCAGAGAUGAAAGGUUUCCCUGAAUGUUGGGGGUUUAUAGGAUUUUUUGAGUCCUCUUUGUAAGGUUGGAGGGGUUUGGAUCAUCCAAAAAUGGCUCCUACACUUGCCUACUGCCAAGCUCUUUGUAAGGUUGCAAUCGCCUUGAAAAGGGAUGAUUCCAUUUUCUUAGCUUUUGCUCCCUGUCCCUGAUGAAUUUUUCAGAGGAGUUUCAGCAAGGAUGAGAGCCGAUGCUUCACAGCCCUUCCAGAAACUGGGAAUAAAUAGAGAAAUUGAGUGUCAAAUGUGGGGAUGACAAGACCAAGUUUUCUUCCCGGAGGGAAAGCAUCUAACAGCUUCUCAACAUUUUCUAGGAAAUCAUCCAUCAACCAUUCAGCAUCUUCUUAGCCAUUGACCAAACUUCUACUUCAUUAGCCGUCGUAGAUACAAUGACAUACAUGUUGACUUGGUCAAUUGUUCAAGCUUAACCUAUGACUUUGGUUUUAAUUUAUUGUUCAAGAGAUUUUGAUUUUAGAUAAAUUAAAUUGGUUGGUGGAAUGAUGAUAUGUUAGAGCAACAAUAUGUUAGAGCUAGAGUGCCAAAAUUGGAGAUGUCCUGUGCCAAAAUUAGAGCAACUUCUCUAAUGUCCAGCCAUGUGACUAGCAGACAAGGACGACUCCUCUACCAACCAUGAGUCCAGCCAUGUGAACAUCUAGCAUAGUGACUUAUCAAGUGAGCAAACGCUAAGAAAAUGGAAUCAUAAUCUGUUCCCCACUCCAAUGCCAAGCUCUUGUUACCCUGUUUUACCCUUCCUUAAGUCAUUAGCAGCUGGAUUUUUAAGAAUGGUAUGCCUCCCAUUGCCAAAGAAAUUGGUAAUUCAAAUCAUUCCUUUCUUUUUCCACAAAGAUCAAGAUGGCUUUACAGUUCCUGUGAGCCCAGAAACCAAUUAUAGAGGAACCUAAUUCUAAAAUAAUUUGGCAUCUGAAAUGUUUAGUUUUACAUGAGCAGUGAUUUUUUUAUACAAUAUCCACUCAAUUUGCUGAGAACCCAAUUUGUUACCAAGAAGCAAUGAGGUUCCAGAAUCUUAAAGAUGGAUCAAAGGCAUGAGGCUCAAACAGAGCAUCUCCUCAUAUCAUUUUCUUCUUAAACCCCAAUGCUGAUUUUGGAGUUUUUAACAUAAUGCCAGGGUUUCUAUUGAAAAUGAGAAAUCUUGUGCCUCCUCUCUGAUUGUGGUCCCAUUUUUUUAUUUCUUUUUUCCUUUUCAGUCCUCUAACUUGUAAUUAUUAUGCCUCAGCUGUUUAAAGUCUGUUUAGUAAAAUCCAGUAUCUUUUUCUGUUGCUUAGUUGCUGUCUUACUUACCAUGCUUUCUUACUUCCCUAAUUCAACCCUAAAUCCAAAUUUAUCAUUUUCUAUUAUUAUUGUUAUUAUUUGUUAUUCCAACAUUAGUCAAAGGCCCUCACAAUAAAUAUAUGGAAAUUCUCAAUUCAUAAUAACUCUUUUGUUCUUUUAGAAUAACUAUAAAACGCAAUAGAAGGGUGGUAGAUGGUAGGUGGUGGUGUACGAGUGCCACGAGGCUAAGUGGCAGACAAAUAUUUAAAAAGAUAAAAAUUUAUCUUUUUAUCUUUUAGAAUAACUCCUCUUGUUCUUAUGAACAAGGCAGGAUAUAUAAAAAAAAAAAAAAAAUGAAGGGGAAAAAGAAAGCCUCCAUUAAUUCACACACUUAUCAGAUCCUACACAUUCAAUUCACCCUCCCCACCCAACAAGGAAAAGAACAUACACGACGAUUAUGGCAGAUUAUACACAUGGACAACACAGGCAGGAUGUGAUUCUUGCUGUAAACAUACGCAACAUCACUUUUACUCCAAGUUCCAAUCCAAAAUAGAUCCUCAAAAUGAGCCAUAUAUGCAUAUGUACCUAUCACCUCUUCUUCCGCCUAUACAUUAAAUAGAAGCUCCAUCAUUUACAAAGAAACAAUCUACAGAUCUCUGUACCCAAAACUUAGGUCCUGGCAGGUUAAUCAAUGCAGAUGGAAUGAGAUCAGCUGUCAUAGGUGUAGGGACACGCAGCACGUGUUAUCAGCCGAACCAUCAUCAUCUGGAUUCCCUUAAGGAUACGCAUGAUGAUGGUUCUCCUAUCCGGACCGCCUCAAGGAAAAGCACAUGACGUUUCAGCUUCUUCUGUCCAAGGAAGAGCAAACGACGCUGACAGAGCAUAGACAUCCGGACAACCUUCAUAAUGUAUCCGCUCCACUAUACAAUCCAGAUAGUCAGCAUGUGACCAUCCGGAUUUAAUCGUCCGGAUCAUCAAUUAAAGUAAAGCAAGUCUUACACGCUAUCACGACAACCAGCCAUGACCCACGUCCCAUCAUCUGUAGAGUGAAAGGACGGGUCGAGGUGACAACAAGUCACUUCCCGCGAUCAUUCUACAUGAUCAUUUCCCACGAUAUCUAGACAGCAGCAUCACCUACCACGGUUUCUGACAGCCGCCAGUAGGGUGGUGAUGACCAUGCUGCCUCCGAAUGUCAUCAUGACAAACAUAAAAUAUCUCAUCGCCAUUAAUGAGAGGAACAGUACCCCUGAAGCUGUAUAUAUAUACCUUCGCACGAAGAAGGAAGGGAUCCCCCCCUGAUAACUUCUUAAUACCUGGUAAAAGGCCAACUGAUUUGUACCUCUCGCUCUGAUCAUGGCUAACAAAACCAUUGGAGGGUGCGUCCGGACACCUUGUCCGGAUGCCUUCUUGCAGGUAUAACGACUGGAUCAAGAACCUGUAUAAGUUGAAAUCACGCGUCCAUCCAUCUGGCAACUACGUGGAUCCUCAAACACGCGAGGUAACAACAUUGGCGCCGUCUGUGGGAACUUUUCUUUACUUUGAUUCAGUCACUAAAAAAAAAAAAAAAAAAUGGCCACACCUUCCCAAAGUCGUUCAUCUGGUAGGGGAGAGGAUGAUAAUUUUGAAUGGCGUCUAGUCAUCGAAAGGAGACAGCUGGCAAGCGAAAGACAGCUAAAAGCUCUCCUUCAGGAGACAAAAAGAUUGAGAGAAGAAAACGUUGUGUUACGUAUCCAGGCUUCAACAUCAGAGCCUCCUCGACGUCAACGUUCGAGGGGCCAAGUAGCAAACUCAAGGCCUCAGCAAGAACCGGAGUCAAUAUACCCUGGGACAACAGGGGCAAUCCCAGGGGCAUGCAACGUGAGGCCUCAUGAACCACGCACGCCUAUGCCUCGAGCUCCCCAUGAGGAAAGCUCAGACUCUACUCACUUUUCAGCAAAAAGGCAACGUGAUAAAAAGUCGCGGUUGUCAAAUUCGAUGCGUGCAAGACUAGGCCCGCAAGAGCCUAGAAGAUCAAGGCCACCUAUGGCCACAACCUGGGCACCACGCCCUGACCCCAUGGCAACCCCCAUGGUGCAAAACGUUCACCCGCAUCGUGACCCCAUAGUCACCCCCGUGAUGCGGAACGUCCAUCUGCACCCAGCGGAACAGCCAACUGGGAGAAACAUCCCAAACGGGCCACCCGUUGGCUCCAUCAGCAAAAGGUUGGAUGACAUGCUCUUCACGCCUUUCUGCUCUCAUAUCAUUAACUAUGAGCCCCCAAGGGGAUUCCUCGUACCAAAAUUUUCCACAUACGAUGGAACCAACGAUCCCUUCGAUCACAUCAUGCAUUAUCGACAGCUCAUGACGCUCGAUAUUGGCAACGAUGCGCUGCUAUGCAAAGUAUUCCCCGCCAGCCUACAGGGACAGACCCUCUCAUGGUUUCAUCGCCUACCUCCCAACUCUGUUGGCAAUUUCAGGGACCUGUCCGAAGCUUUCGUGGGACAAUACUUGUGCUCCGCUCGACACAAACAGAAUAUCAGCACCCUCCAGAACAUAAAAAUGCGAGAUAACGAAUCCUUGAGGGAAUUUGUGAAACGAUUUGGCCAGGCCGUACUUCAAAUAGAGGCUUGCAGCAUGGACGCGGUCCUACAGAUCUUCAAACGAAGCAUCUGUUCAGGCACUCCAUUCUUCGAAUCACUGGCCAAAAAACCUCCUACAAUAAUGGAUGACUUAUUCAGAAGAGCCAACAAAUAUUCAAUGCUCGAAGAUGACGUACGUGCAGCCACCCAACAAGUUUUGGUUGCCGGACGGCCAUCCGGAAGUAAUACGGAGAGAAAUACCAAACCUCCGGAUCGGCCAAAGCCAUCUGACCGAAGGCAGGAAGGGCCAAGUCGCCCGGAAAUGCCGCCUCUCACACCUCUUUCUAUAUCAUAUGAGAAACUUCUCCCAAUGAUCCAAGGCUUGUCCGACUUCAAGUGGCCUAGACCCAUUGCAACGGACCCAUCUACAAGGGAUCGUAGCAGGAGAUGUGCCUUCCACAAGGAUCAUGGCCAUACAACAGAGACGUGCCGAUCUUUCCAGUAUUUGGUCGAAAGACUCAUAAAAGCUGGGCAUUUGAAGCAAUACCUCCGCAUGGAUACUGGGGGUAGGGACGUUUCCCAGCACAACAACCCUGGAGCCCCUAGGGCCCCAGUUGCCACCAAGGUCGUUAUCAACUAUAUUAACGGAGGACCAUCUGAAGAGGAGUAUGACUCCAGGCGGAAAAGGCAAAAAUUGUUGCGGGCUGCAUCAAUACGCGAACGCAUUAAUUCCAUCCGGCCGGGUCUAACUGGAGAGGGGCCUCGCCCCAUAGAUGGAACAAUAAUUUUUCCACCAGUAGAUCCCACCCGGACACUACAACCACAUCGCGACGCCCUCAUCUUGUCCUUGGAAAUUGGGGACUUCGAUGUGCGACGUAUCUUAGUUGACCCAGGCAGUUCGGCCGACCUGGUGCAAGCAUUAGUCGUUGGCCGCAUGGGACAUAGUCUCGCGGGCCUUGAAAACCCAGGACGAAUCUUAUCUGGAUUCAACGGAUCAUCAACCACAUCCUUGGGAGAUAUCAUACUGCCAGUCCAAGCUGGCCCAGUCACUCUCAAUGUACAGUUUUCAGUAGUACAGGAGCUAUCACCCUUCAAUGUCAUUUUGAGGCGCACAUGGCUCCACUACAUGAAAGCUAUCCCCUCUACAUACCAUCAAAUGGUGAGUUUUCUCACCAACGAUGGCCAAAUCGACCUAUAUGACAGCCAAUUAGCCGCUCGCCAAUGCUAUCAAAUAGCACGCGAAGCAGGGGCUAACCAGGAGGAUGUAUCUCCCCCUGAACCCAGCAUUGCACACGACCAAUAGCAAUUAUUGGGUCCGACGGACAAAGAUCCCCCGGCAGUAGAUCCCUUACAAACAAUCCAAAUUUCGGAGGAAAACGACCACCUCACGAACAUCAGUUCCCUCAUGACACAAGAAGAAACUCAAGGCAUGCAAAAUAUCCUCAGACAGAACCAUGACAUCUUCGCGUGGGCACAUUCUGACAUGAAGGGAAUUCAUCCCUCCAUUGCAUCUCACAGGCUUAACGUCUUUUCAACUGCCAGACCCGUCCGACAGAAGAUUAGGCGCUUCCACCCGGAUAGACAAAGAGUCAUCCGGAACGAGAUUGACAAAUUGCUCGAAGCCGGAUUCAUCAGAGAGGUUUCUUAUCCGGAUUGGUUGGCAAACGUAGUCGUGGUACCCAAAAAAGAAGGAAAAUGGAGAGUUUGUGUAGAUUACACCAAUCUCAACAAUGCGUGUCCAAAAGACAGUUUUCCCUUGCCGCGAAUAGAUCAGAUUGUGGAUUCCACUUCCGGGCAAGGGAUGCUCUCUUUCUUGGAUGCCUUCUCCGGAUAUCAUCAAAUCCCCAUGUCCCCGGAUGACGAAGAAAAAACAGCAUUCAUAACGCCACAUGGCCUCUAUUGUUAUAAAGUCAUGUCAUUCGGACUCAAAAAUGUUGGCGCCACUUAUCAAAGAUUGAUGACUAAAAUCUUCAAACCUCUGAUAGGCCACUCGGUAGAGGUAUAUAUUGACGAUAUCGUAGUCAAAAGCGAAACUCGAGAACAACAUAUCCUUCAUUUGCAAGAAGUUUUUUACCUCUUACGAAAGUAUGGCAUGAAGCUAAAUCCUUCCAAAUGCGUCUUUGGCGUGAGUGCCGGCAAAUUUCUAGGAUUUAUGGUCAGUCAAAGGGGCAUAGAAGUCAGCCCGGAUCAAGUCAAGGCAGUCAUGGAAACACCUCCCCCCAGGAACAAGAAAGAGUUACAGCGCCUCACAGGCAAACUCGUUGUGUUAGGGCGUUUCAUAGCCCGCUUCACUGAUGAGUUGCGACCCUUCUUCUUGGCGAUACGAAAAGCUGGAACGCACGGGUGGACGGGCAAUUGCCAAAACGCUUUGGAAAGAAUUAAACAUUGUCUUAUGCAACCACCCAUAUUGAGCAGCCUCAUCCCAAAGGAGAAAUUAUACAUGUAUCUGGCAGUGUCAGAAUGGGCAAUCAGUGCCGUUCUAUCCCGCUGCCCAUCACCCAAGGAGCAGAAGCCCAUCUACUAUGUCAGCAGGGCAUUGGCAGAUGUGGAAACCAGAUAUUCAAAAAUGGAGCUAACAGCCUUAGCCCUUCGAAGCGCUGCCCAAAAGCUCCGGCCCUAUUUUCAAGCCCACCCGGUGAUCGUGUUGACUGAUCAACCCCUUCGCAGCAUUCUGCACAAGCCAGAUUUAAUCGGGAGAAUGCUACAAUGGGUCAUCGAAUUAAGCGAGUUUGGAAUAGAAUUCCAACCAAGGUUGUCCAUGAAAGGCCAGGUAAUGGCUGACUUCGUGCUAGAAUAUUCCCGAAAACCCGGCCAGCAUGAAGAAUCAAGUAAAAAAGAAUGGUGGACUCUGCGAGUUGACGGAGCCUCACGUUCAUCAGGCUCUGGAGUUGGGCUCCUACUACAGUCCCCAACUGGGGAACAUUUGGAGCAAGCCAUCCGGCUGGGAUUUCCUGCCUCAAACAAUGAAGCAGAAUAUGAGGCCAUCCUGUCCGAAUUGGACCUCGCCCUUGCUCUAGCCGUCUCCAAACUCCGGAUCUUCAACGACUCACAACUCGUGGUAAAACAUGUCCAGGAGGAAUAUGAGGCUAAGGACGCACGCAUGGCGCGAUACUUAGCUAAAGUAAGAAACACCUUGCAGCAAUUCACUGAAUGGACAAUCGAAAAAAUCAAGCGAGCUGACAAUAGGCGCGCUGACGCUUUGGCCGGCAUAGAUGCCUCCCUCCCUAUCAAGGAAGCCAUUCUACUGCCCAUACAUGUGCAAACCAACCCCUCUGUCUCAGAAAUUUCAAUCUGCAAUACCAUUAAAGCACCCCAAGCGGACGGCCAAGAAUGGAUGAAUGAUAUCACAGAAUAUAUCCGGGCAGUAACUCUACCCGGAGAUCUCAAACAGGCACACAAAAUCUAGGUGCAAGCUGCCCGUUUUACCUUAAUUGGGGGGCACUUGUACAAACGAUCCUUCACAGGACCAUACCUUCGGUGCCUAGGACACUCAAAGGCCCAAUAUGUGUUGGCUGAGUUACAUGAGGGAAUAUGCGGAAAUCAUUCGGGAGAACGAUCUUUGGCACAUAGGGCUCAUUCGCAAGGAUACUAUUGGCCAACAAUGAAGAAAGACGCGGCAACAUAUGUCAAAAAAUGUGAUAAAUGUCAAAGGUACGCUCCCAUUCCACAUAUGCCAUCAACAACGUUAAAAUCAAUCUCAGGUCCAUGGCCCUUCGCACAGUGGGGCAUGGACAUAGUGGGACCUCUCCCAGCUGCACCUGCCCAAAAGAAAUUUUUGCUUGUUGCCACAGAUUAUUUCAGUAAGUGGGUGGAAGUUGAAGCAUAUGCUAGCAUCAAAGACAAGGAUGUCACCAAGUUUGUAUGGAAAAAUAUUAUCUGCCGUUUUGGAAUUCCCCAAACCAUUAUAGCCGACAAUGGUCCACAAUUUGAUAGCAUUGCAUUCAGAAAUUUCUGUUCGGAGCUGAAUAUCCGGAACUCAUACUCCACACCACGGUAUCCUCAAAGCAAUGGGCAAGCAGAAGCCACAAACAAAACCCUAAUCAAUGCCCUAAAGAAAAGGCUUGAGCAAGCUAAAGGGAAGUGGGUGGAGGAGCUACCCGGUGUCCUAUGGGCCUACCGAACUACACCCGGACGGCCAACAGGAAAUACUCCUUUCGCUCUUGCAUAUGGAAUGGAUGUCGUCAUUCCUACCGAAAUAGGUCUCCCUACUAUCCUGACCGACGCAGCAAAACAAAAUGAUGCAAACAUGGAAUUAGGAAGAAAUUUGGAUUGGACGGAUGAAGUGAGGGAAAGUGCGGCCAUCCGGAUGGCAGAUUAUCAACAAAGGGCAUCAGCACAUUACAAUCGUAAAGUGAAGCCAAGAAGCUUAAAAAAUGGUACGCUAGUCCUUAGAAAAGUUUUUGAAAAUACUACUGAAGUGGGUGCAGGGAAGUUCCAAGCCAACUGGGAAGGACCUUAUAUAGUGUCUAAAGCAAGUGACAAUGGAGCAUAUCAUUUACAAAAGCUAGACGGAACUCCAUUACUUAGACCAUGGAAUGUGUCUAAUUUAAAGCAAUAUUAUCAAUAAGAGAGCCAAGACGAGUUCAGAUGAGAAAAGAAAUAUUUUUAUUGAUAUAGCUAAAAAUAUGUACAAAGAGGUCUCCGGACCACAAAAAAUACAGAAGGAAGAUUACAGAAGAAGUUACAAAAAGAGAUAAACUAUCAGGGAGCAGGCUUGUCAUGUAGUUUCUUUUCUUCACCCGGAGGAAUUGAAGGCACGUCCCGCCUGAUACAGUUCUUCUUCAUGCAGCACCGAUACCCAAAGAUGAACGUAUCAUCCACUUGUUUUUGAUAUUCUGCUUCAAUUUCCUUCCUCUCUGCAGCAAACUCCCGUUCUAGCUCCUCUUUUUGUGCAACCAAGCGCAGCUGCAAAUCUUCCCUCUGUUUCCUUUCGAUAGAAACUUCUGUUCGGAGUUGCCUCACCUCCCCCUUCAGACCGACCACCUCAUCUGCUGCCUCAAGCAGACGGGCAUCCAUUGAUUCCUCCCGGGUCUUUGCGUCAGCCAAAUCUGCCCGGAGGGCCUCAUUCUCCCUCCGGGCGGUGGAUAUGCUGGCUUCAGCCUCCGCCAGUCUCAGACGCAACUGAUCUUCAGCAUCUUUGUGCCAAGUGGCGAAGGCCUUCACAUAAUCAGUAGUCCGGAGCAAGUCAGUGAAAAGAUCGUACUGAUUGGCCAUGCCACGAAGACCACUCACCAGCUGCAAACAAAUAGCCAAGCAAGAAAAGCAAAGUUAGAAAUCACACAUCAGAAUGACAAUCAAAAAGCACAAAAACAGUUUUACCGUUUCCACCAUCUCGAACAUCUGGGCUGAAGGCUUGACAAGGGGCAAGCCGGGUGGAAUAUGUUUUAGCUUCUCUUCCAACUCCGCGUAGCUAAAAGGGUUAGCAGAAGUGCAAGAUGCAUCAUUAACAGGAUUCCCCUCCGAUGAGGCAAGAGAAGAUGACUCUUGUUCCGGAUUCGGGACCUCAACAUUUACGGCCGGAUGGGCAUCCUCGGGUGCAACCUCAACAUUUCCGGCCAGAUGGACCUCCCCCGAUGCAACCUCAGCUGGGACCUCCGUCGGGACGGCUGCAGUCUCAGUUACCAUCUCCACUUCACCCCCCUCCGGAUGAGCGUCGUGGGCGGAUGUGCAACUGACUUCAAUCUCUUGCUGCCGCUCUUGAAGCCGCCCGAGGAGUCCGGACCUCAGGUUGCGCACCGAGCGAGGCUUCUUUGAGGGUGGCCCCGUCACCAGAACAAGAGCCAGCCGGUCCGGAUCGUCAGAGGGCUGACUCUGGCUUUCUGCUCCCGCUUCCUCCAUGGGGGUCGCGCAAACGGCCUCAGCUGCAUCGGCAUCCGGAUUGCGGGAGUCCGGAUGGUUGACAGACGCAGCUUCCUCAGCCAAAUUCGCUAGACACGCAACCGCUGCCAAGGAGGUGCUUGAGUGGUUCAGCCCCGCAAGGUGUCUGGACCCGCUUGAGAUGGAAUGAGGGGCAGCGUUCACUGGCUCCUCUAUCAUUACCUCCGCCUCAUGAAUAAUGGGCGGAGGAGCAAAUUCCAUGGGAGGACUGGGUUCCUUCAAGUCCUUCCCAUUUUUCUUCACCAGCUUCCUCCUUUUCGCUGGAAUUUUCUCUGGAGGAGAGUCUGCGUGACGAUUCUGUCCGGGAGCCUUCCGAAGGGUCCCUUCGUUCUUCUUCUUCUCCCGAUCCUCCAGGAGAAGUGGGCGUUUUUUAGCGUCAACCUCUUUUAACGCCUCGUAAAUCGGGAAAUCCUUCACAGUAUAAUGCUCCCCAGGAACAACUUCCUUUGGCAUCUUCCUGGGGAGAAUGUUGAUGACAUAUUCUCAGGGCUCCCGGACGACCGCCGUCAGGUUCCGCGCGGUCAGCAGCGUCUUGCACUGCCUCUCCUUGGCGUCUAUCUCGAACAAUUUGCUGAGACAGCCAAAGGACGCCUUCUCCACCCAGUCCACAAGGUGGCCCCUCAAUUCCGGACCUACAUUAACAGCAACAAAAGAUGAGAAUGCCAUCCGGAAGAGUCAACAAAAAAUCAACAAAGUAAAAACCGGACAAUAGUCACAAAAGCAAACUUACCCGGAACCUCCAAGGAAUAGUUUGGGUUGAAAGGCCUCGCCGGAUGCUCCAAAAGCCCCGCCCACGCACCCCGGACCACCACGUGUCCCGUCGCCCCUCCCUUUGUCGAAUCUGGCAGCUCUGUCACCAGUUGGAGGGAGGGCAGGUGUGCGGACAUGCUGAAGAUGUCAUUUUUUACCUUCUUCAAAGAAUACAAAAAAAACACCUCCAGCAGCGUGAGAUCGAGGUUGUACAGCAUGUUUAUGAUGCUGCAUCCCAUCAACACCCGGACGAUGUUGGGAUGAAUGAAGACGGGUGGAAUCUUGGUGAAGUGGAGGAACUCCUUGAACAACGCCGGCAGAGGGAACCGGAGCCCCGCGUUGAAUUGUUCCUUCGAGAAAAUGAUAGUUUUUUCUUCUGCUUUCUCAGAAGGCACAAGUACCCUCCCAUUCAGCAGUUCGAUAGUCACGUUAUUCGGGAUGCAGAACCGUUCCCGGAAUUCCUUCGCAUCCAGCUUAUCUAUCGCCUUUCCACGAACUUCGCUAGCCCCAGAAGAUGAAACAGUCUUUUUUGCAGCCAUUUCUUACCACAAACACAAGCCCAAACCUACACACAAGAAGCGCAAUGGGUAAAACACAAGUAACCCAGAAAAUACACAAACCCUAACCCAAACAAAUCAGAAACCAAAACCAAAGAACCAACAAAACGCAACAAAAGGAACAGCAAUAGCAAAGGUACACGUACCAAAUGAAGCUCUGAAGAAGAAAGGUCGUCGUUUCGAAUACAAGAACACCAGCAGCAAACAAAUGUCGCGACACAAAGUCACCGGUACAAAAGUAUUUUCGAGUUUCUUUACUCAGAAAAAGCAAAGGACGCAACAAAAGCAAGAAGAAGAAAGGCUCUCAGGAAAAUGCAGUAGAAAAAAUGAAAAAGAAGGUACAGUACGCUAUUUAUAGGGAGACCAGCCCUCGGAAAGCCAAACGUCCAAACAGCGCUAUCAUUGAAACAACAUGCUGCCUGGAAAUUCCCAGAGUCGGCGGCUCAUCAUAAAUGCCUUUUAUGGCUUCCGCACCCCCUCUCGCCACGUGGCCCAAUCAGACGAAGAGACCUCUUCAAAAUUCAAAAAGCCAGUUAUUUUUUAACCCGCCCAUUUUUUGGCAAAAUAGGCAAGUUAAAAAGGGGGGCAAUGUGGGGACCCCUCCCUCUGGGAAACACGUGGCACGCACCUCACAGUGACACGCAGCACGUGUUAUCAGCCGGACCAUCAUCAUCCGGAUUCCCUUAAGGAUACGCAUGAUGAUGGUUCUCCUAUCCGGACCGCCUCAAGGAAAAGCACAUGACGUUUCAGCUUCUUCUGCCCAAGGAAGAGCAAACGACGCUGACAGAGCAUAGACAUCCGGACAACCUUCAUAAUGUAUCCGCUCCACUAUACAAUCCGGAUAGUCAGCAUGUGACCAUCCGGAUUUAAUCGUUCGGAUCAUCAAUUAAAGUAAAGCAAGUCUUACACGCUAUCACGACAACCAGCCAUGGCCCACGUCCCAUCAUCUGCAGAGUGAAAGGACGGGUCGAGGUGACAACAAGUCACUUCCCGCGAUCAUUCUACAUGAUCGUUUCCCACGAUAUCUAGACAGCAGCAUCACCUACCACGGUUUCUGACAGCCGCCAGUAGGGUGGCGAUGACCAUGCUGCCUCCGAAUGUCAUCAUGACAAACAUAAAAUAUCUCCUCGCCAUUAAUGAGAGGAACAGUACCCCUGAAGCUGUAUAUAUAUACCUUCGCACGAAGAAGGAAAGGAUCCCCCCCUGAUAACUUCUUAAUACCUGGUAAAAGGCCAACUGAUUUGUACCUCUCUCUCUGAUCAUGGCUAACAAAACCAUCGGAGGGUGCAUCCGGACACCCUGUCCGGAUGCCUUCUUGCAGGUAUAACGACUGGAUCAAGAACCUAUAUAAGUUGAAAUCACGCGUCCAUCCAUCUGGCAACUACGUGGAUCCUCAAAGACGCGAGGUAACAACAAUAGGCUGAUAUUCUUCUUCGCUUGUAGCACCUGUAAUAGCCAUCACCAUCAUCUCUGCUCGCCUUAUGAUUGUCACCAUCCUUAAGCAAGCACUCUAAAAUGUUUUCAUCAUGAUUGUCAUCCUUAAGCAAACCCUCUAAACUGCAUUCAUCAUGAUCAUCAUCCUUAAGCAAGCCCUCUAAACUAUUGUCAUUAUGAUUAUCAUCCUUAAGCAAUAACUCUAACAUGUAUUGCUCUCUCUUUCCACCAUUUAUGAGUUGCUACUUCCCUCAAAAGCACCCCUUCACUUUCUCCCACUUUACAUAUAAUCCUUUUUAAUAUUUUUGUUAGAAAAAAUUAUUUUCCUUUUCUAUUUAGACAUACCAAACCAACUGAAGUUUAUUUUAUUUUAUUUUAUUGUCUUUAAUUGAAAAUUGAAAAUUAGUCAUUAAUGUUGGUUGGUUUUUUGUACAGUAAUGAGUCAAAAUAUUGAGAUUAGUAGGGCAAAUUGGACUGACCCCAUCCAAAGAAAGCACUUUAUUGAUCUUUGUCUUCAAGAGGCAAACAAAGGUUUUAGAUCAGGUGGAGGUUUAAAGUUUAGUGCUUGGCCUCGAAUUGCUGAAAAGUUGGAGAAGUUACUUAGAAAACGUUAUACUUCAAAACAACUUAAGAAUGGGUGGGAUUACAUGAAAAGACAAUAUCUCAUUUGGAGUAAAAUGAUGACUAUGACAGGACAUGGUUACAACUCUGUAACCAAAACUUUUGAUUGGCCAGCUGAAAAAUGGGAAGAAUAUCUACAAGUAGUUUUUUUUAUGGAUUUGAGUGAAUUUUAAAAAUAAUUGUCUUAUAUAUAUGUAUAUAUGACUAAUUUGUUGUUUAUCUUGUAAAAUAGAAAUAUCCAGAAACUAAACAAUUCCGUUUUAAACCAUUAGCAAAUGUGGAAGAAUUAGAGGCAUUGUUUGAAGGGGUGUUAGCUACUGGGUCUAAAAAUUGGAGCUCUGGGGGAGUGAUAGCUUCUGGGGCUGAGGAAUCAUCAACACAUUCUACAUCUAUGCCUAGCGAAACUUCAAUUAGUUUAGAAGAAGAUGAGGAUUUGCCAAGAAAUACUAAUGAUGAAGCAGAAGGUUCUAAGAAAAAACAGAAGAAAAAAUAAUUAUUCAUAAAUACUUCAUAAAUACUUCCAUGAGGUUUUAGUGGCCAUGGUGAAUUUCUCAAAAGAGAUGAUUACUCCUCCAUCAUUCAAUGAUAGUUCAAAUGGUAUCUCCAAUCGUCGGCUAAGACAAAUUUUUAAGGUACAUUAUUUUUUAUUUCUAAUUAUUCAUAUCAUAUUUGUAUUAUUCUCAUAUAAAAAUAAUUAUUUAUAUUUUAAAGAAUUAUUACCAUGUAGGAUGCUGUUGGUGCAAUUGAUGGAACUCUUAUCCAUGCAUGUAUUCCCACUAAUCAACAAGUACCUUAUCGAGGUCGUGGGAGAGGAGAGUGUUUUCAAAAUGUUAUGGCAGUUUGUGAUUUUGACAUGAUAUUUAGGUUUGUUGUUGUUGGAUGGGAAGGAACAGCUCAUGAUUCAAGAGUCUUGACAGAAACUAUUCGUAACCCGUAACAUAAUUUUCCAAUGCCCCCAUCAGGUAAAUAUUUUAUUUUCAUUUUAUUUAAUAUAAUUUGUAUUUAUUCAUUAUAAUAAUCAACUCAAUCCUUUUUUUUUCAGAAAAAUAUUAUUUAGUAGAUGCAGCAUACACACACACUCGAGGUUUUAUGGCACCAUAUCGUAAUGUGCGCUAUUGGUUGAGUGAUUUUCGUAGUAGUGGUAAAGCUGUAGGAAAAGAGGAGAUAUUCAACCAAUGUCAUGCAAGAUUAAGAAAUGUCAUUGAACGUGCUUUUGGUGUUGUUAAGGCGCGUUUUCCAACCUUGAAGAGAAUGGCACCUUAUUCGUUUACUACUCAAACAAAAAUUGUCAUGACAUGCUUCUCCAUUCACAAUUUUCUUCGACAAAUCUCAAUUGCGGAUAGAUUAUUUUCCGAAUAUGACAAUGAAGUGGAAUUGGAAAGUGACAAUGCCAAUCAAAAUCAAAACUCAACUACAAGCAGUUUUUUUGCAGCAUCUGAUCAAGAAUUCAUGCAACAGUUCCGAAACCAAAUCGCAAAUGAACUCUUUCAAGUGUUUAGUUAACUUGUCAUUUUUAGCUUUUUACCAUUGUAAGAAAUGCAAUGUUUAGAUAUUAGCAUAAAAUGUGAUGUCUUCGGAUAUUUGAAAAUAUGUACUUGAAUUGUUAUGUUUUUUCUUUAAUUUGAUUUAGGUUUUAUCAAUCUAUUAUUUUUCAUAUUAUUAAGUUUAAAUAUUUUAUUUUAAUUAUAUAAAAAAUAAAUAUAUUAAUUAUUUUUUGUAAGAAUGAUAAUGAUAAAUUAUUUAUUAUAACAAUUUUAUUAUUUUGAACUUUUUAAAAAUAAGUUAAAUUAUAUUUUUUUAAUACAUUAAAAUAUUAAGAUAUUGGUUUUCAGCAUAUAAAAAAACAAACAGCUUAAUACUUAAUAGAAAUAAAAUUUUAAAAAAACAAACAACUUAAUGCUUAAUGCUAUUAAGCAUUAUUUAGUAUUAAGUUAAAAAAAAGUUCUAUUUAGAAUUAAGCCAAAAAAACAAACGCCACCUUAAUCUAGAAACUCACAUAAUGUGAGAUGAAAAAGAUCAAAUCAAAUCAAAUUAUUUAUUCUUCCACUGAGUGGCCUUCCAGACCCACCAAAUGUAAAAUAUGGAAACAUUUCCUUUCUUCAAAAACAAUGGUUAGGCAAUGUUUAAUAUGUCAAUUGUGUUUGGUACCUUGAGUAAAUUCUGGAAUUGCAAAGAAUAGCCAGGAAGAAGCGGCAGCUUUCCCUCUCUAAGAUUCAAAAACCGAUAUCGUGAUUCAGGCAAAUGUGAGCCUCUAAUAAGUUCAUAGAUAGCAGCUCCCAAGGAGAACAUGUCAACGUUGUCAAGAUGGUCAUACUUGUCAUUCAAGAUUUCUUGUGGCAUAUAACGUGCAUCACCUUUCAUCAAUUGGAAGGCUUCUAUCAAGAAGAGUUGCACAACCAAAAUCACCAAGUUUGUAAACACCAUCUUUGACAUAAAUGUUACCAGGUUUCACAUCUAGGUGAGCUAUUCCUUUCUCAUGUGUAAAUUGCAAGGCCUUGGCAAUCUGUAGAUAAAUUUCAAGUGAAAAGAUGUUAACAAUAACUGAAAACUAAGGUCCUAGUAGAUAUUCAGAUGUUCCAGUUUCCAGUUUCCAUAGCAUUUUGGGCACACCAUUAGAAAUGGAGUCAUCAAAACAAAAAUGGAGCCAGAAAAAAGAUUAGAUUUAUCACAAAAUAAAAUAUUUUAAAAAAAAAUUAAAGAAAAACAAACAAACAAACAAAAAUGUGGUGUCACUUCUUGACACCCUGUAACUGGUCACAAAUUACAAGAAAUAGAUUUGUUAUACACAAUAUGGAAAUAAAGUAAAAAUAACUUGAAAUGCCACAGUAAACUACUAGAUACAAUUUAUCAGGAAACAAAUUUAGGACAGAGUCUAAGAGAAGGGUAGGAAAAUUGUUGAUUGAGUACUCAAAAUAUCUAUAGGUGCUCUAUAUAUGAAAUGAAUAUUUAUUAUUUUUACUUGAAAUGCCAUGGUAAACUACAAGAUACAAUUUAUCAAGAAACAAAUUUAGGACACAGUCUAAGAGAAGGGUAGGAAAAUUGCUGAUUGAGUACUCAAAACAUCUAUAGGUGCUCUACAUAUGAAAUUAGUAUUUAUCUGGCACAUUAGGCCUUUGCCAUAAAAGAAAUUAGAACAGACAAUUGAUUUUGGGCCUUUGGUUUUGUUCUGCUACUUUAGGUAGCAGUUGUCCAAAAUCAUCCUCUUACUUCGACUCUCAGCAUACUCUCUUCUAUGGGUCGCUCCAGUAUACAUUAGGUCUUUGUCAUAAAACAAAAUUAGCUUAGUCGGUUGGUUUUAGGCUUUUGUCUUUGUUUUCCUACUUUAGGCGGUGGUUGUCCAAAAUCAUCCUCUUGACUCUUGGCAUACUCUCUUCUAAGGGUCAUUCUUAUAAUCUGUUCUCUACAUGUACCAUAUGUUACAUCAUAUCACUUAUGGACUCAUUUUUAUGACAUGGGAGUCACAUAUGUAUCCUUGAAAAAAUACAUAUCAACCUUAUGCAUAGGUUCCAGGACUUCCCCUUCUGUGAACAAGUGAGAAGAUCUCUUGAUGGAUAAGCUGUGAUCACAAAGUGUAGUAACCUACAAUCAUUUCAUGAGAGGAACAAAGGAAAAAUGCUGAUUUUGGUUAGGAAAUGAACAAUGCCAAAUUUGUGGAGAAGAAAUUGUAAAAAGUGUAAAACUUAUGAAAGAUUUUAUACAGACCUAAAGCUGCCAAAGCUUGAACUUCCAUCAAAGCUUUCCUCCUGCAGAUAUUAUUGCAUAAGAAAGCUGCUCAGACAAAUACUACAAAUACCAAGCAUGAAGAAGCUACCUUUCUGUGUCUUGAUGCAAUGGUCUUGUGCUAUGUUUCACUGCAUACAUGCAACCAUCAAUUCUCUUCAGAACCUUGAAAACACGACUGAAGUUCCUGUCACCGAUUUGAUGGGGAAAAAACAUUUUAAUUGCAAAAUAUCCAAGCCCCAAAAGCUUGACCAUAUAGAUUGUGAAUACUAUAAAAAAAAAACCUAAUACUUCCACUUAAGUAUAGAAAUACUUGGGGUUUGGUUAGAUACCUCAAUCUCAUGGAAAUCUGUGUGAUAUCGGGAAAGGCUAUCUCCACCAAUAAGUGCAGGGAAAAAACCUGUAGAUUGCAGCCUUAUUCAAUUAAACCCAAGAUAUAAAAAUGAAACCAGAACAGACACUAUGAUAAUCAGCAGUAACCCCACCCAACCCCCAACUAAGUUAAAGAAAAAGGAACGAGAAGUUCCUGGAGAUAUCAGAUGAUAAGAAGAUAAUACUACGACUCUAAAUAUUUCUUAACUUUGUGAUGCAAUAUCCGAAUGAUACAAUCCACUCUAUUCUUCAUGAGCUCAUAAAUGAAUCCAUUUGUUGAUUUAUAGCAUUACAUAGAUGAAUUAAAUUUUUCAUUCUUCAGCACUAUAAUGUAAAAAAUAAACGAAUUGUCCCCAAUUUCAGUGAGUUUUGCACAGAUACAAAAAUAAUAAUCAAAUUGAGCUUGCAAUUCUCCAAUCAAAAUACGCCAUUCAAAAACGUGAAAUUUACCAGAAGAAGUCUUGGCUCAGAAUGAAAUCUUUGUUAUCGACAUCAUCGUCGAUGUUGUCGGCGGCGGUUACGGAUUCCAGAAGAUUCUGGAAGCGAGAAACUUGACCUAGCUGAACCGUCAAAUGCCUUCCUAGGGUACCCUUCAUUUCGUUCCUCUGUCUCCUCCUACUGCUUCUCUCUAGGUUUUUCUCUUUAUCAACAGAGCUCUCCCUCUCUCUCUCUCUCUCUCUCCUCUCACUAAAACUCUCUCUGUAAAUACGUUCCGAAAAAAUGGAGGUUUUGAAAUUUCGGGAAUUAAAAAAUAGUGAAAAUUUAAAAAAUGCGCGAGUUUGGCAGAGAUUGUAUGAAUCCAGUAUUGUUGAGCUUAAAAUGCACCCCGCAUCUCCUUUUGACACGUUUCCAAAUUUGGGGAUUGAGGAAGUGGGAGAGUAUUCAACGGUUUGGAUUGGUUCUUGUGGUGAAGCAAUUUAUGAUGGUAGCGUACCGCGUCAGCCUUGUAGUUUUGUGGUUAUAUUGAUUUGAUACUUCCAAGGCAGUGCGGUUGUAGUGGGCCGAAGCAUAAAGCCCACUACAAAGGACGGCCCACAAAUUUCAAAUUGCUUUUGUGUAUGGCAGGCAAAGUUGCUGUCUAAAUAUGACAACUCUUUCGUCGUUAAUUUUUUUAAAUUAUUUUUAUUAUAAACUGUAUUAUAAUGUUUAAUUUUUUUUCCAACAAUCAUUUUAGAAUCAUAUAAAUUGUUAAAAAUCUAUUGAAAUAAAAAAUAAAUUAGUUAAAAUUUGAUUAGAAUUCUUUUUCUUUUUUGGUUCUUUUCUUCUAGUUAAACUUUAUUUUUAAAUUAAUAAAUUAUAAAAUAAUGUUAAAUAUUUUUAAUUAAUUAUUGACUUAUUAGAUAUAAUUUUUAUUUAUUUAUUUAUAUGAAAAUUUUCAUGUGAUGAACUCUCAUUUAUUAGGAAAUUAUGAAAACUGUAAUUUUUUUAAUUUUUAUGAUCUUAAAAUUCUCAAAUGGACCUUAAUUUGAAUGUUAUUAAUUAUUAAUUUAUUUUUUAUUACUGUUGUAUACUGUAUGUAAAUAAGUAGUCUUCAUCCUUAAAAAAAAUUAUUUUGUUUAUUUGUAUUUUAGAAUAAAGAUAUUUGAAAAACAAUUAAUUAAAAUAAAAUUAAUUUAAUAAAUUGUAGAACAUCCUAAAAUACCAAAAUUUACUCCGUUGUUGUUUCAUAUAAUAAAGAAAAAUAUUUGAAAAUUAGUAAUUUAAUAUAUUUCUAAAUAUCCUAAAAUAUCAUAAUUGGAUUGUAAUACAAAAGUUUAUAAUGAUGAAUGAUAUGAUAACUUAAAAAAUUGGUAAUAAGAUGGUAAUUAGGAUUUCUAAUUAUGUUCAGUUAAGUAAAAAACAUAAAGUUUUUUUAUGUCAAAUUCUAUUUAUUAGUAAUUACUCCGUGUUGUGUGUGUAUAUAUAUAUAUAUAUAUAUCAAAUUUAGAAAAUUGUGAAUUUUUUUAUAUUGACUUUUUAUCCAAAUUAACUAAUUUUUAUUUUAUUAAAUUUAUGUUUUUAGUAAUAAUUUUUUGGAAAAUAAAGAAAAUGACAAAAAAAGAUUAAUUAUAUUCUUUUAUUUCUUAGGAUAACUUUAUUAAUUUAUGACAAAUUUAUUUUUGAGUCAAAUGUAUAAAAUUUAAGUAUGACCUAGUUUUUUAUUUUUAAAAUAAGAAACUUUUGUACAAAAGUAGAGAUAUUAAUGAGUCAUUGAACUAUCCAUAUGGUUGAGAGUUCUUACCAAUGUUUUUAGAAUCGAACCGAAUAUUGAACCGAAAAAAUUACUGGUUCACGGUUCACUAAUCGGACCGGUAGUCAAACUGGUAAUGUCAUAAAUAUAUAUUUUAUAUAUUUAUUAAAAAUAAAAAUAAUUAUAAAAUAUUUAAAAUAUAUAAUUAAAAAUUAAAUAAUAUUUACAAUAUUAUUUAUUCAUUUUUAUAUACAUGUAUUAAUGGUUUAAAUUUAUUAAACAAAAUAUAUACAAUAUUUAAAUACGACAAUAUAUUCAAAAUGGUAACUAAAAAAAAAGUUGUAUUUAUAUAUGAAAACAAAUUGAAAAUGAAAAAAAAAACAUAUGUGAUAUAUAUAUAUAUAUAUAUAUAUAUAUAUAUAUAUAUUAUUUGAAAUAGACUAUGUAGUUAUUUUCUGUUAAAAAUUAACACAAAUGAGCUUGUGGUUCUAGGUUCAAACCCCCUUGUUGUAGUCCGUAGGAAAAAAGUUGAUUUUUGCUUUUAAGUCCUUUUACCUUAUCCCACAUUGGAAGUAAGAGGAAAAAUAAAGUGCUUUACAAAUCUCUUCCCAUGUAACUCAAGUUGGACAGUCAAGCCAAGUGGUUGUUGGGCCUUAUGGCUCAACUCUUGAUUAAGGGUCCAUUUUACAGGAUGGGUGUGGGCAAUGAAUGUUAGGCCGGGGAGAGGAUACAAUCCGUUUUGCCAAAAAAAUGGGUAGGCCAACAAUGUUGGGUCGUGAGGGAAUGGACUAAAGUGGCCCACUUAGUCAAAUAAAAGUUGGGGUGUUGAACCGUUCGGUUCUCCAAAAACCGUCCGGCCCGCUAAUUGAUAACCGGCCUAAAAGGGGGAACUGGAUUGGAACGGUUGUACCGGCCGAUUCGGUCCGGUUUUUAAAACACUGGUUCUUAUAACUUUGGCACAACACAAUUAUAAGGGGCAUGUUGUGCCACCGAGCUAAUAGUUCAUCAUACAAGUCUUCCAUUAAGGACCCACUAUACCAAGAGCAAGAGAAACUUCAUCAUUAUUUUGUCUUUUUUGGGCUUCUAUGUCACCACAUAAAAGGGUACAACAUAAUAAUGACAUGAGUUUGGUCUUACUUCACCUUAUAGGUGGUGAAUAUGGUGAUGGUCAUUUUUGCAAAUUGAAGCUUAAAUAAUGUAAGUGACAAUAUAGAAAAUGAUAUAAUAAAAAUCAAUAUAAGAACAAAUUGCAAAUAAAUAAAGAAAAUGAGAGGGGGGAGGGGGAGGAGGGAAUACAAACUCAAAAUUUUACAGCAAUUUGACACAACUCAACUUACAUUUACUCUCCUCAAGUUUUCAAUCGAGUGACAGUUUUUUUAACAAGGCUUCUAACUCAAACCUUCAAGUUUACAAUGGACUAUAGUUCCAAUCAACUUUCUUGGACUUCUAGCUCCAAAUACCUUUUUGGAUUAUUGUUUUAAAUAUACUUUAUAACAAAAAAUUUCAAUAUAAAGCAUUGUUUUCAUAAUCAAACCAGUGACAUCAUAAAUAUAUAAUUUAUAUUUUAAUAAUAUUAAAAAUAAUGAUAAGAAAUUAUAUAUAUAUAUAUAUAUAUAUGUAUGUAUGUAUGUAUGUAUGUAUGUAUGUAUGUAUGUAUGUAUUUUGUUAUUUUAAAAUUUUUAAAACUAUUAUAUUAAUUAAUUUAUAUUAUUUUUAUAUUUAUAAUUAAUAAUUAUUAUACCAAUAAUGGUAGAUAUAAAUAUUUAUAUUUAUUUAAAUGUUCUAUAUGAUAAAAAUUUAAAGAUAUAUACAUAUUUUCCAUGUUGUUGACCAAAUAGCUGUGUAAGUUGGUGGUCAACCACUCGUUAUGUAAACUACAUGUCCUAGGUUUCAAUUCCCCUCCAUGUGAAGCUUAUUUUAUUAUUAUUAAGGCCUAACCUAUCUCACAUUGAAAUUCCUACAAAGCAUUUAUGUAGUAUUUAUACCUUCACAUCACAAGAGAAAGUUAAUUGCAAUAGAAUAUAGUAAAUGAGCUUGGAAGGAAGUGAGAAAUGAGACAGUUCAAACUCUAGACGGUCUAUUUCACCAAACCAAAUCGAAAAGGCCAUCAGUCGAUGGUUAAACCGGUCGGUCCGAUCAUGUUUUCAAAACAAUGAAAUUAGGGUUGAAUGAUACACUAAAAUGAAAUGCAAGUUUAAAAGUAAAUGCAGAUCUAAAAACAUUCUCUUAAUGCUUCAAAUAUAGUUAAAAAACAAUUUAGAACUUGUUAGCCCAAGGGUUCUCCUAAUCGAGUUUUGAUAAUAACAAAUCAUGGUUAAGUGACUAAUUGUUUUAAAUGGUAAAGAAUCUGAGGUAUAAAUUCAGAAAUUCAUCAAAUGACCAAAUGGAUACAAGAUCAAGACUUUGGGAAGACUUUUGAUCAUAGGAAAUGAAUGUAAGAUGAAUGCAUGGGUGCACUUAGGAUUUUCAUACCGUUUCAUGCAUCUUAGAAAACUUGGUUUAUCCUUUAAAACUUCGAUUUCAUUAAAACCCAAGUUUUAACAAAUGUACCUUGGGCAAAAAGUUUUAAAAUUGACAUAUUAUUUCACCUAAAGACCUUGCCCAAGUGUUAGAAAAGAAAGGAAUUGAAAAAGAUAGGUUUUCGGGGCCAAAAGACUGAACCGGUCGAGACUCUGGCCAAACGGCUCAACCGGUUGUCCUUGUCCGGUCGAGGUCCAGUCGAGGAGUGCCAAAAACACUUUCUCUCAUCCAGUAACUUCAUCUUCCCAGUUGAGGUCCGGUCGAGACAACGAUAACCUGCCAAACAUUAAAUGCUCUAACGACUAGUGAACCAGUUGAACCCUAGCUCGACCGGUCGAGGCUCUUUUUUGCUGUUUUUGGCUCCCGAGCUUAGAAACCUAUAAAUUGAGAGCUCCACUUCAUUUAUGAAUAAGAGAACACUUGCAAUCAAUUGUCUACCUACCUGUUCUUAACCAAAAAGCUUUCAUUUCUUUCUUAGUGCAUUAAAUCAUCACUUGCAUAUCCUUUAAUGCACUCUUGUGUGUCAUCCUAGCUUUGUCUUGUAUUUGAGUUAUCUUUAAGCUAGGUUGAGGGAUUCAUUCUUGUAAAAACUGAGUGUUAAAGCCUUCAAGAGGUUUGAAUCUUGAAGAGAUUAUGUAAGAGCCCAUUAGAGCCGAAAUCCAAGUGUAAGAAGAUUGGAAGCUUGGUUGAAGCUUCAAGUUAGUGGAACCCUUACUCAUUUAGGAGAUUGAGGAGAGUGGACGUAGGCAAGGAAGUUCUGAACCACUAUAAAACACGAGUUUGAAUUCUCUAACUCUAUCUCUUUAUUUUUGUUUAUAUUGUGCUAGAACUUGUUGUGUUUGAAAAGAUAUUAAAAAACCUAAUUCACCUCCCCCAUCCCUUUUUGGGUGUUUUUCUUAAUUAAGCAUAUCCUUUAUUUUCUCAUAACUCUUUCUUGUUCAAUAUAAGAGUUGAAAGCCACUAGAUAUAAUUUGAGUAUUGAUUAACCAACCAAUUGAUCAACUACUAAUCAUCAAGGUUACCAUUUCCCAACUAACUCAACCGAUUGAGACUUAGCCUAACCUUGUUGAACCAAGGUUAUGCCAGUGAUUGGAGCUAAAUAUGUGCUCCAAUAUAAUAUAAUUUAUACAAUAUAAAAAGUUCAAAUCAUCAAACUUAACUUAAAUUGAUGCUAAGAUCCUAACUAUGGAUCUAACUUCCAUUUUUGAACCUAAUUCUAGAUUUAAGGGGUAAAAAGAAUGCUUAGUACAAAUUUCAUUCUCAACCAAGGGAGUAGAAAAUGUUAAAUAUACAUAAAUGAGAGACUUUGCUCUUGUGAACCAUAAAAAGUCCAAAUAAAAGCAUAAUGAGAAAACCAUAGGCAUGAGAUACUAGCAACGAAUAUUAUGAAAUGAGAUAAAAGGCAAGCAAUCAUAAUGAAAGAAGUUUGAAGCAAAUACAAUCAAAUUCACAUGGAAAUUUGGAACUCAAAAAUUGGCCACAACAAGCACUCUAAAUUUGAGGUGAAAUUUAGAGUACUUUCCAAAGUCAUUUUUGAGCAUGUUAUAUUUCAUUUCAAAGUUUGGGAAGUCAAGAGUCCAACACUUCAUAUUAUGUGCAAAUCAAAGCUGAAAUGAAAAAGUUAUGUGUGUUAGAAGCAAAGUAGUAGUAGGUAAGUUCAAAAUUCAAAAUGAAUUAUGAACUCACCAUGGUGAUUUCAAAUUUGGCACUUUUUUUCCACUUAUGAGUUCAAAAUUGAUUUGUGUUAAACUAAGGUUUGGUUAAUCUCGAUUUUGAUGAUAACAAAAUAAGGUUUGAAACUAAUGAUUAUAUUUCAAGUAUGAUUAGGAAAGACGAUUUCCAAAGUGGCAAUUACAAAAAUAAAAUCAAGUCAAAGAGAAAUCAAUUAGAAAAAGAAGACCUCAAAGAUAAGUGUUUUUCAAGACUUAAGUUUCAUAGGAUCUCUUUAUAAAGUUGUUGGUGCACUAGGUCUUUCAUGCAUUACAUUAUUAAUUUAUGCACCAAAAUCAUCCAGAAGUAAUUUUGUUUUAAAUCCUUUAAAAUCUGAUGAUUUCAUGUUUUCAACUAAAACAUUGUAUUAAAUAUUUUUCAAACUUGUUUAAAAGGUUUUAAGUUGAAAAUGAUAGUUGUUGAGCCAAAAACAACUCAAUCGGUUGAACCAAAUGAGGAAUCGGUCGACCUAUUUAGCUCAACUGGUCAAAUGAUACAAAAACUUUCUCUUUCUUCUAUACGGUUGUUUAACUAGUUAAGGUUGAACCUCAACCGGUUGAAGUUUGGUCAAAGGGCGGUCAAGGUCCAACAGUCACUUGCCAAGUAUUAAAUAUUAAAGGCUAGUCAAUCGAUUGACCCCCUACUCAACCAGUCGAACCCCCAAUGGCUAGUUUGGUCGUUUUCUUCUAUAAAAAGGCUUCAAUCUUUAUUAUUUCAUGAGCUUAACCUUCCUAAACAUUUCUUGAAUAUAUUUGAGUCUUGGGCAAGUGUUUUUUAGUACACUAUUAUUUUAAAACUUGCAUAUCAUUAGUGCAUCAUUCAAUCCUAUUUUUCUUGUAUCAUUUGAGCCUUAAAGUUUUGUACUAGGAUUUUGUGAGAUCAUUUAUUAUCUUCAUUUGUAAAUCUAUGAGAAGAAAAGUCUAAGUGUAAAGUAUCACUUUGGGAUUCUCAAGUGUGGGGUAUCACUUGAGGGGUUGUUCAAGAGUGGGGUAUCUCUUGAGAAGUGUAAAGGAUACUUAGAGCCAAAAGUCCAAGAGGGUUGAUUGGACCCAUAAUUCAAUUGUAUUGUUUGAAGGUUUGUUUUGGAAGCCUUGAAUUAGUGGAACCUCAAGCUUAGGAUUGAAGCUAGAGGAGAGUGGACGUAGGUCGGGUUGCGCCGAACCACUAUAAAAUCUUGUGUUUGCAUUCUCUUUUUCCUUACUCUCUUACCUUAUAUGCAAUUAUUUUUAUAUUAUUUUAUUAUGUAUUUGCAUAUAAUUAUCUCUUGCAUUCACAUAAUUUAAAUUUGCAAAAAGAGACUAUCACCCUAUUCACCCCCCUCUAGGGUGAUUACCAUAGGUUGGAUUUGCCUAAUUUUUCUAACAAUUUGGAACUCACCUCAAUUUCGAAUUCAACCAUUGGUGAUCAAGUUUUGAGCUCUAAAACAUACCAAAAAUGAGUUCCAAAUGCCUCAAUCUAAUUCAAAAUGCAUUUUACUCAUUUGGAACUCAUAAUAUUUAGAGUUUUUUUUAGGUUUUUUUUUUAUAAUUUUUCUCCAUAAUAAGUGGACAAUGGAAGUGUAUCACAUGUUAGGAUAUUGAAUUUAUUAAACUCUUUUAUUUCUAGGUUUUGAAGGAGGAAAAGAGGAAGAUAGAAUGUAGGGAGUGAAAUCUCCUCUUAAAAGUCUUUAAUAGAGUUUUAGGUUUUCUUUUCUUUUUCAAUCUUUCUAUUUUAUUUUCUUGGCAACCAAACAUGGGUUGUAAAAAGAAACCCUCUAUCAUGUUUGGCUAACUUGAUUGAUCCAAAUCUGAUAACAUGAUGAAGGUGAAGAAUCCAAAGAAAAGUAGCAAGAACAUGACAAAAUAUGGUUUUCUUUAUGUUUUCAAGAUUUAAUUGAUAAGAAUAAAUCUUUUACAUGAGAUCACUAUAGAUAAAUUACAAAUGAUUCUUAUCAAGAUAGUAGUCAUUCUUGAGAAGACAUUGAUCACUAAUUACUAUAAUUUGGUCUUACUAUUAACGAAUUUAAGGGUCAAAUCUACAAAAAUGGAUAUAGGCUUUGAUUGAAUAAAAUUGAAAAUCAAAAUUGACCAUCACCUAUCAUUGUGAGUUUGUGUUGGGGAAUGAUAUAGUAGAUUAUUACCUAAUACUAGUGAUUUUUGGUAACUUUUGAUCAUUAGUUAUCUUAAUCUUCUUUAUCGUUAUUUUUUCCUAAAAUAAAGCUACAAGGAGUAGGAAAUGUUAAAAAGUCAAACUUUGAACCAAUAAUUAACUUUUAAUCUCAUUCACUUGAUGGUUUUAGAAAUAUGUUUUAAAAAGAAAAAAAAAAGUUUUGGAUGUAACAUUAAUCUUAGGAUUCAAUUUGGUUGUGGAUUGACUUUCAUCCUAAACCCUAGAUUUUAUAAUGCUAUCCUUCUAAGAAUUUGACACUAGAUUAUGAAACUCUCUAGAACAUUCUUUUUUUAAUUUGAUUUAUUUCAUUUAAUAUUCAAGAAAUCUUUAUUCUUAUUUAUUUAAAUUAGGAUUUUAUUAUCUUAAACAAAUAAUUAAUCAUUUUAAUCUAAAAACAAAUAAACACAUUAUAGCUAAUUCCAAAGGACCACACCCCAAAAUAUUACUAAGUCAUGGUAAUUCUAUCUCUGUUUUUUCUUAGCUAGAGUUAUCUUACAAUAAAAUUGAGCAUUUUUUAUCUCCUUAAUUAGCUGAGUCUAACCAAAUUAACUAGUUCUCUUGUACCUCAAUGGAUUGCACAUUUUUAAGACCGAAUUAAGGUUGGUAAACCUCGAUUAAUAGCUCCUCAAUCUUUCAAAAACCUUUCAAAAUAUUUUACUCACAUUAAAACUUAGAUUUUUUCCUUACAUCAAUUGUUUUCAUCUAAUUUAUAAAAGAGUGCAAAACAAUUUAGCACUUUAAUGACUUUAGGUGCUUAAGUAAAAAUGAAAUGUAAUAUGAAUUAAUGAACCAAUAACUUUACAAACAGAUCUUAUAAAAAUUAACUUUAAAUACCAUUUUUAAGGUCUUAUCUUUAUUAUUGAUUUAUUUUCGACUUGAUAAUUGUUUUUAUGAAUAUAUAUAUAUAUAUAUUCCGCAUCUAGUCCUUCACUAAAGACCUCUUUCUGUAGUUGCAUUUUAACUAAGCCUCCUUGAAAUUUUGUUUUCAAUAAUAAUUUAUGUGUUGAAUUUUGGCUAUACAUGCUUGUGAAGAGAAGUAUUGUUGCUACAAUUAUUUAGCUAUUCUCGCUAGGCACAACUGUUUUUUUUUUUUUUUUUUUUUUGUUUCGCUUGAUGCUGAUAAGACAUUUUGUGAUCAUCUCUUUCUUCAUGAUUCAAAGCUCAUAAAUCAUUCCUACUUUCAGCAUACGUUUGUGUGGAAUGUCGAAUGUCUUCUCCUUCUGUCUCAAAUUCUUCUUCAAGAUAUUAUAGCCAACAUUUAUCAAAACCUUCUUUCCUAAUUUGGAGCCUUUCUUUGCCAUCACCUCAAUCUCACCGAUCAAGUGUACCACACCUGCUUGCGUUGCUCUGUCAAUUGCUUCAAUAUCUUUAUCAACAUCUUCUUGGCGUCUUUCUUCAUCAAUUCGUUUUGAUUCUUCAUUCUCAUUCUCGCCAUUAAUCAACUCAUUUUGCAACUCUCCAGAAACCAUGUCUUCAUUACUGUGUGUUAAUGUCGGGGUCAUCAUCAUAUCUUCUCUUAUGAACUCCUUCAAUCUUUCAACUAGCAAUCUCUCAAAAGGCUCUUCCUCGGAUCGCACAUCAGUGUACCCAUACCUCACCACACACCGGAACACAUAAAGAUUGUCUGGGUUUACCCUGCGGAAGAGGAACCGUUCCUCCAUUGGAACCUUGCUUAUGGGGAGAGACUUGAUUGAGACGAAAACAAGAACUGAAUGCAAUGCAGACACAUUUUCCAUGUAAUGCUUGAAGAUGGGCGGGAUGCCAUGAACAAGCUCAGAGUAGAAGAUGGCUAGUCCUGGUAUUCUACUAAAGUUUGUGCUCGCUACUAAUUCCUUCACCAUCUCAGGAGAAAUCUUGUGAUCCAGAUCAUAAUAGUAUUUCCUCCGGUACACAUCAUUCCAAAUGUACAUUAUGGUCAUCAGAACUAAGGCAAAGGCCAAGGGUAGAUACCCGCCUUGAUCAAACUUGUAAAGGACUGAACUUAGAUACAGAAGCUCAAUGCUACCAAUGACCACAACAUAUGAGAUCACAAGUAGGAUAUGGGUUUUCCAUAUCAUGAUCAUCACAAGAACCAGAAAUGAUGAGGUGAGGGUCAUCACGAACACCACCGCAAUCCCUACACCAACAAAGACUCACAAUCAUGAUCAUUUCGAAAUAUCAUGCACCAAGCUCGAAAAAAGUUGAAAAAUGAAGAUCUGAAAGAAGGAUGGGUGGAUUACCAUAUGCAUUUCCAAUCUUUGUGGUAGUCUUGAACCCAACAGUGACCCCUACACAAGCCAGCAUGAGAAGGUAAUUGACCUCAGGAAUGUAUACUUGCCCUUCAUACUUAGUCGAUGUAUGCACAAUCUUCACCCGAGGAAAGCACCCCAGCGAGAGCGACUGCUGGAUAAUGGAGAAAGUCCCGGAAAUCAUUGCUUGACUGGCAAUGAUUGAUGCGGACACAGCCACAACAAACAUCGGCCAGUACAGACCAUCUACACCAAAGAAAUUAACCCACCUAAAUAAACCAAUAAAAGAACCAACAAGAAGACAGAAAACAUACUCUAAUGCAAGAAUGCUUACGUGGUAUGGACUUAAAGAAAAUGUCACCAACAUCCUCAUGGUGUUUCCGAAGAAAAGAGGCUUGACCAGUAUAUGCCAAUACAAGAGCAGGGUAUGUGAUAGUGCACAUACUUAUCUGUAUCGAUUGAACUGUGAAGUGGCCAACAUCAGCAAACAGCGCCUCCGUCCCUGCAUUUCCCGAAAACAAUCUGAGAAAUUUCUCAAGUUAAUGAUGGAGGAGAAUUGAUUAAUGAUCCACAUCCAAACCUGUUAUGGAGAGGACGACCCCACCAAGGGAAAUCCAGGCUUGUUUCUUGUUCCUUCUGAAGUAAUCGAUGAUGUACUUGGGAUUAAUGGCUUUAACAACUGUUGGAUCAAACUUGAUGAAGUUGUAGACCCCAAUGCCGCUAAUUAACGCGAACCAAACACAGAUUAUUGGAGCAAAACUGUAUCCAACUUUGUCAGUUCCAAAUCUUUGAACCAUGAAGAGGCAUACCAAAAUGACUACUGAUAUCCAAACAAUCAUAUCUGUUUGCACAAAGGAAAAUGGUAUUGAAAUUAAAAUAAAAUUUAUUUAUUUUUUCAAAUUGAGGAACAAAAAUGAUCAAUAACAUGCUUAUGUAACCAUUUUUUUUAAAUUAUUUUAAGAUGAUAAGACACUUUUAUUGUAUUUAAUAAGUUAGACUAUUACCUUUGUAUAUCUGCCAUGACUAAGGAAGUGGACAAGUCAAAAUGUUAUUAAAAAUAAUUAUAUGAGGAUGUUAUUGUAAUUUGAAAGGAUUAUUUUAAAUUUGUCAACAAUGCAAAGUUGCAAACCAAUUGGUUUUUUUUUUUUUUUUUUCCUUUUUGUUUACUUAAAAAAAGGGGAAAGAUUCCAAGUUAAUGUGGCCAGUUGAGAUUUCCUAAAGUUAUUUAUAUAAGCCAUUGGAUUCAACACUUUUGUCCACACUUUAGUAGUCAAAAUUGUACGAUCUCAUUUAUUAUCAAUUAAUUUGGUCCAAUUCAAUUUCUUUUUUUAGGGUUAUUUAAUUAAAAGAAAUAAAAUAAUUACAAAAAUACCAUUCAUUUUUAUUUUAUUUUUUGUAAAAAUAUUUUUUUAAAAAAAUUUAUAAAAAAUUAUCCAAAUAUUAAAUAAAAAUUUAUUUUAGUAGUUGAUUUUAAAAGUUGAGAAAGAUUACCUUGUGUCAUUGAAUCCAAUGCUACCUUGAUGCCACCCACAGCUGAUAAAACUGUGACAUGCAAAGUCAAAUGUCAAAUACACAACAUGAAAGUGAAGGAGGAAACCCAUUUUCCUUGUCAGCUAAAAUCCAACUAAAUUAAUUUGCAUCACAAUUUUGGUUUUUGUGAAAGACGCCAAUCCUAAAUAUUCCUACCCAAUAAGAAAACUUAAUAAUAAAGAAGAAAGUUGAAUGCAUAUUCCCCCAUAUAUAUGUUUUUUGGUAACAAAAAUUUGUGAAAGGAAAAGCCAUUUAUUAUGAAAGAAGGAAACCUUUUAAUCUCAAACUAAAAAGGAUGAUGUAAAUUAUGGUGGCUUUUUACUUUCCAAAAGUAAGAAAAGUAUUUUCAAAUUAAAAAUUGUGAUGUGAAAACAAAGAUGAAAAAAAGAGCUCUUUUAAAAAAUACGUUAAUAAGGGGGAAUAAAGCAGAAGUAUUUCAUUAAAUUUGUAUGUAAAUGUAAAGAAGAAGGAUAAAAACUAAGCUAACCUGAGAUGCAAGGAGUGAGGACACCAUCACCAAUCACCAUGGAAGUGCCAAGCAUUGUGGCAAACAACAGAAAGAGCUUAGCAAAGUUGCUCUUCUCUAGCUUGGACUUGAGCUUUGAUGCCAUCUGCAGUCUUUUACUAGGCAGCUCCAACCGGAAAUUGGAGACUUCUCUGUCCUCAGCCUGUUGACUAGGGAUCAGCCCCACCUUGGCAUAUCGGCAUAUAAGAGAAUACAAAGCAAAUGUCCCUCCUGAAAAUAAUAAUAACACAAAUGUGAUAUUCAUCACCUAAGCUUAAUGGGUUAUUUUCCUUUUUCGGAGUUAUAAUGUGACCGUAUAUUUAGAGUUGAAAGGGAAGAAAAGAUUAUAAAAAAGAUUCAUUGGAUUGAGAGCACAACUGUUGAUCAUUGAUUAAGCACAUAAGAGGGAAGUUUCCCUUCCCCAUUUGGAGCCUGCAAGGUUAUUUUAACGGCUAAGUCACACAAUUUGUUCCAUCACAGUUGGCCUUCAAAGGUGUUUUCCACUCAUCCCAUCAAUGAUCAAGACUAGCAAAAAUGGCAAGAAAAGAAAAGGGAAAAAAGAAUCACAGUUGGUUUGGAAAAGUUUUAAGAUCAAAGUAGCAUCUUUCUAAUAAGAAAAGAUGAUGGGUUCAAGCCAUAAAAGAAAACAAAAAAAGGAAAAGGAAAGAUAGAAAAAGAAGAUCAAAGUAGGAUUCAUUUGAAUUAAAAUCAAAGGUCAUUCAUGAUGAUGAGCUCUCACCACCGCCAUUAUCAUUGGCCUUCAAAACAAUCAAGACAUACUUGAAGAGAGGGAUGAGGGUGAGGGUGUAGAAGAUGAGAGAAAGAACCCCCAGAAUAUCAUCAUUAUGUUUGACACCAUCAGUGAAAGUGCUUGCAUACACGUACAAAGGCGAAGUUCCAAUGUCCCCAUACACUAUUCCAAUGCUCUGAAACGCCAGGUGCAGUAUCACAGACCAGUUCUUGGAGCCCUUCAAAACAGAAAAUAAAAAGAUAAAAAUAAAUAAAUAAAAUAAAAUAAAAAAUCAAAUCUUCUUUUUCCCAGUUACCAUGCAUGCAGAUACAGAAUAACAAGAAAAUGAUAUCAGGAAGUGGGGGUGCAGACCCUGGAGCUAUGGUGGCUUUGGCCAUGGACAGUCCCGGUCUCCAUGUCUAAGGAGUCCAUACGACGUAGUUCUCCGCAUGAGAGUUUCUUUGAUUUGAGGCCUUGAUCAUGGGUCUCGUCAGGGCUGUUUACCACAUCAGAAGACAUUUUCUAUGAUCCGAAAAGGGCUUUGAUUAGCCUGGAGGUUUAGCAGAAGGAGGAGAGGCCAAUUUAAAGGCACAGAAAGGUCUGAAAGAAGUGAAGAAGAAACAUGAAGUUCAAGGUGGGAGAUGUCGAUGGACAUCCCCCAAAUGUUUGCUUCUUGGUUUUACGCUUCUUACCUUCCUUGCCCUGCCCUGACUUUUGGUUGACAACCGCAUGGUUGAUUUUAUGAAUUAGUAAAUGAAAUUAUGAGUGUCCUUCUUCCCCAUUUAUUUUCCAAAUUUAGUAGAAAACGCGUCAUCAGUGAAUGGUUGAAUGGUUGAUAUCAGAAGCCAAUAAUUUGUUCUUCAAGUUUGGCAUUUUCUAAAUUUAUGAUAUUUUUUAUGGUAUUAAUUAAAAGAUAUUUUUCAUGGUGAUAAUUAAAAGAUAUUUUUGGAAAGAUGACUUCCAAUUAUAUUCCUUUACAAAUUUGAAAAUAUUUUUUGAAUUAAUAUAUUACUAUAUUUAUUAAAUUCCCAUCAAAGAAGCCAUGUUGCUACAAUUUUUUUGGCUAUUCUAUCUAGCUACAAUUGAUACUAAUGGGACAAUCUUUUGAUGCCUUCCCAUGUUUCAAAGCUCAUAAAUCAUUCCCACUUUCAAUAUACGUUUGUGUGGAAUGUCAAACACCUUCUCUGUCUGUCUCAAAUUUUUCUUCAAGAUAUUGUAGCCAACAUUUAUCAAAACCCUCUUUCCAAAUCUGGAGCCCUUAUCUGCCAUCACCUCAGUCUCACCGAUCAAGUGCACUACACCCACUUGUGCCGCGCUAUCAAUUACUUCAAUAUCCUUCUUAACAUCCUGUUGAUGUCUUUUUUCAUCUAUUUGCUUUGAUUCUUCUCUCUCGUUCUCACCAUUAAUCAACCCAUCUUGCAGCUCUCCAGAAACUAUGUCUCCACUAUUGUGUGUUAAUGUCACGGUCAUCAUUAUCUCUCCUCUUAUGAACUCCUUCAAUCUUUCAACCAGCAAUCUCUCAAAAGGCUCUUCCUCAAAACGCACAUCGGUGUACCCAUACCUCACCACACAUCGGAACACAUAAAUAUCAUUUGGUUCUACCCUGCGGAAGAGGAAUCGUUCCUCCACUGGAACCUUGCUUAUGGGGAGAGACUUGAUUGAGACGAAAACAAGAACUGAAUGCAAUGCAGGCACAUUUUCCAUGUAAUGCUUGAAGAUGGGCGGGAUGCCAUGAACAAGCUCAGAGUAGAAGAUGGCCAAUCCUGGUAUUCUACUAAAGUUUGUGCUCACUACUAAUUCCUUCACCACCUCAGGAGAAAUCUUGUGAUCCAGAUCAUAAUAGUAUUUCCUCCGGUACACAUCAUUCCAAAUGUACAUUAUGGUCAUCAGAACUAAGGCAAAGGCCAAGGGUAGAUACCCUCCUUGAUCAAACUUGUAGAGGACUGAACUUAGAUACAGAAGCUCAAUGCUACCAAUGACCACAACAUAUGAGAUCACAAGUAGGAUAUGGGUUUUCCAUAUCAUGAUCAUCACAAGAACCAGAAAUAAUGAGGUGAGGGUCAUCACGAACACCACUGCAAUCCCUACACCAACAAAGACUUGCAAUCAUGAUCAUUUUGAAACAUCACUAAGCUCGAGAAAAGCUGAAAAAUGAAAAUAUGAAAGAAGAUGUGGGUAGAUUACCAUAUGCAUUUCCAAUCUUUGUGGUAGUCUUAAACCCUGCAGUGACCCCUACACAAGCCAGCAUGAGAAGGUAAUUGACCUCAGGAAUGUACACUUGCCCUUCAUACUUAGUCGAUGUAUGCAUAAUCUUCACUCGAGGAAAGCACCCUAGUGAGAGAGACUGCUGGAUAAUGGAGAAAGUCCCAGAUAUCAUAGCUUGACUGGCAAUGAUCGCCGCUGACACAGCCACAACAAACAUCGGCCAGUACAGACCAUCUGCACCAGAGAAACCCCACCUUAACCAAUAAAAAAACUAACAAGAAGACAGAAAACAAACUCUAAAGCCAGAAUGCUUACGUGGUAUGGACUUGAAGAAAAGGUCAGCAACAUCCUGAUGGUGUUUCCGGAGAAAAGAGGCUUGUCCAGUAUAUGCCAAUACAAGAGCUGGGUAUGUGACAGCGCACAUACUUAUUUGAAUUGAUCGAACUGUGAAGUGGCCAACAUCAGCAAACAGCGCCUCCGUCCCUGCAUUUUCCCGAAAACAAUCUGAGAAAUUUCUCAAGUUAAUGAUGGAGGAGAAUUGAUUAAUGAUCCACAUCCAAACCUGUUAUGGAGAGGACGGCCCCACCAAGGGAAAUCCAGGCUUGUUUCUUGUUCCUUCUGAAGUAAUCGAUGAUGUACUUGGGAUUAAUGGCUUUAACAACUGUUGGAUCAAACUUGAUGAAGUUGUAGACCCCAAUGCCGCUAAUUAACGCGAACCAAACACAGAUUAUUGGAGCAAAACUGUAUCCAACUUUGUCAGUUCCAAAUCUUUGAACCAUGAAAAGACAUACCAAGAUGCCUACUGACAUCCAAACAAUCCUAUCUGUGUCCAAGAAAAAAUUUAUUUGAGUUAGAAUCAUUAUUUAAAUAAAAUUAUAAGAAAUGUAAGAAAUAAAAUUUAUUUACUUUUUUCAACUGAGGAAAAAAAUAAAAAAUAAAAUAAUAAUAAAGAAAGAAUGGUUAAUAAUUUAUUGUAUAUAAUAAUAAUAAUAAUAAUAAUAAUAUGAUUACAUAUAACCAUUUUUUUUAAAAAAAAUUAUGAUGAUGGGAAAUUUUUAUUGUAUUUAAUAAUUUAAACUUUUACCUUUUCAUCAGUCAUGAUUAAGAGGACAAAUCAAAAUAUUAUUAAGAAUAAUUAUACGAGGAUGUUAUUGUAAGUUGAAAGGAUUAUUUUAAAUUUGUCAACAGUGCAAACCCAUUAUUUUAUUUAUUUUCUUUUUCCUUAAAGAGGGUAAAUAUUCCAAGUUAAUAAGCCAUUGGAUUCAACACUUUUUUCUACACUUUACUAGUCAAAAUUGGACAAUCUGAUUUUUUUAUCAAUUAAUUUGGUUCAAUUCAAUUUUUUUGUAAUUAAAAGGAAUAAAAUAAUUAUAGAUUUACAAAUCUUUAAAAAAAAAAAAAUGACCUACAAAAAUACCAUUCCAUUUUUUUUUGAAAAAAUAAUUUUUUUUAAAAAAAAUUAUAUAAAAAUUAUCCAAAUGUUAAAUAAAAAAAUUAUUUUAGUAGUUGAUUUUAAAAGUUGAGAAAGAUUACCUUGUGUCAUUGAAUCUGUGACUUCCUUGAUACCACCCACAGCAGAUAAAACUAUAACAUGCAAAGUCAAAUGUCAAAUAUAUAUACAAUAAAAGACUGAAGGACAAAACUCAUUUUCUUUGUCAACAAAAAUUAAUAAUAAAGAAGAAAGUUGAAUGCAUAUUCAACCAUAUACGUAUAUCUACUUAAAUUAGUCAUAAGUAAUUUUCAAUGAUAAUAAAAGAUAACUUUAGAAAAAGCUAAGCACAAGAUGUUUUUUGGCAACAAAAAUUUGUAAAAGGAAAAGACAUUUAUUAUGGAAGAAAAAAACCUUUUAAUCUCAAAUUAACUAAAAAAGGAUGAUGUAAAUUAUGUUUGUUUUUUAUUUUCAGAGUAAGAAAAGCAUUUCCAAAAAAUGGUAGUGUGAUGUGGUUUUUAUUUUCCAAAGUAAGAAAAGUAUUUCCAAAAAAAAUGAUAUUGUGACAUGGUUUUUAUAUGAUUUUUACUUUCCAAAGUAAGAAAAGUAUUUCCAAAAAAUGGUAGUGUGAUAUGGUUUUUACUUUCUAAAGUAAGAAAAGUAUUUUCAAAAAAUAUAUGUGAAAACAAAGAUGAAAGGGAAAAAAAAAAUCCCUUUUAAUAAAUGCAUAAGGAAAAAUAAAGGUGUAUGACAUUAUGUCAUUAAAUUUGUAUGUAAAUGGAAAGAAGGAUAAAAACUAAGCUAACCUGAGAUGCAAGGAGUGAGGACACCAUCACCAAUCACCAUGGAAGUGCCAAGCAUUGUGGCAAACAAUAGAAAGAACUUUGCAGAGUUGCUCUUCUCUAGCUUGGACUUAAGCUUUGAUGCCAUCUGCAGUCUUUUACUAGGCAGCUCCAACCGGAAAUUGGAGACUUCUCUGUCCUCAGCUUGUUGACUAGGGAUCAACCCCACCUUGGCAUAUCGGCAUAUAAGAGAAUACAAAGCAAAUGUCCCUCCUGAAAAUUAUCCAUGGUGUUUAAAAGAAGUGUAUUCUAGGCUUAAUGAGCUAUUUUCCUCUUUUUUUGAGUUAUAAUGUGAACCACAUAUUUAGAGUUGAAAAGGCGGCAAGGAUUUAAAAAAAAAAAAGAUUCAUUGGAUUGAGUGCACAAUUGUUGAUCAUUAAUUGAUCAACCAGAUACGAGGGACCCCAGUAGGAGCCUGCAUGGUUAUUUUCAAGGGCAAGUAUCACAGUUUGAUACAUCAAAGUUGGCCUUCAAUGGUGUUUUUCACUCAUCUCAUCUAUGAUCAAGACUAGAAAAAAAUGGCAAAAAUAAAAAUAAAAAUCAAGAAAUUAAUAAACCAUUUUGCCUUGUUGGUAUGGAAAAGUCUUAAUAUGUGGCAUAUUUCUAAAAAGAAAAGAUGAUGGGUUCAUGCCAUAAAAGAAAAGAUAGAAAAAGAAGAUCACAGUACGAUACAUAUAAAUUAAAAUCAAAGGUCGUUAAUGAUCAUGAGCUCUCACCAUCGCCAUUAUCAGUGGCCUUCAACACAGUCAAGACGUACUUGAAGAGAGGGAUGAGGGUGAGGGUGUAGAAGAUGAUAGAAAGAACCCCCAGAAUGUCAUCAUUAUGUUUGACACCAUCAGUGAAAGUGCUUGCAUACACGUACAACGGCGAAGUUCCAAUGUCCCCAUACACUAUUCCAAGGCUCUGAAACGCCAGGUGCAGUAUCACAGACCAGU
rnacentral:lncRNA from 1 species